rnacentral:lncRNA from 1 species
GACAGAAGACAAUACUGCAUGCCCUUCUUGCUCCAUUGAUCUCAUAGAACUACAGAAGUGUAUAUAUGCUUUUUUGUAAAAUAGAUAAUUCAGGUUGCCAAUACACAAUAAUUUAGAGUGAACUGGGAAGUUAAAUUACUUGAUACAACAAAGUGGAAAAGCUUAUCUUCGUUCCUUGAUCUUAGGGAUUGGGAACUUCUCCACUUAGGAAGGAAUUUGGCAAUGGUUGGUCAUGCUGCUCUAAUUACCUGGCACAAAAUAAUGCAAGUACAAAAAUCUGACACGGAUCAGAAUGAAAAUAAACAAUCUAAUAGAAAAUUUGGUAACAACCUGGGGGAUAGAGCUCAGUAAUUUCAGCAAGGCUAAAUCCACAUCGGCAGUGGCACAGGCACGCCCAGGAACGAGUGGCUUGCCUAGAAAUCCUCCACGCCUGUAAUUCCCAGGCCUACCCAUGGCGGUCCUGUCGCUAGUAGCCUCCAUUUGCAGCACGGAAGAAAGAGACUCUCGUUGGAAGUUUAGGACCUGAGUCAGGCACAAACGGGAAUCAACCCCAGCAGCCACAAAGGGAAAAACUGAAGGAACUUACUGUAGAAAACAAACUUGGCCAUGGCAGCAAUCCCUGCUAUUGUCUCUCUGAUGGCCUACACGCCAGAUCUAGAGGGAGAAAUACCCUAUCCAAGGGGAGGCAAGAGGGAUCCUCGCCAAAAUCGACUUCAAUGGUCGCCGGGAAAGAUAGAGGGGAGAGGCUCACUGCAAGGAAUUCGGGAGGGGAUUCUCGAAGGCUCGUUAUCUUCCCCGAGAGAAGGAGAAUCUCCACGUGUUCUGUUUCAGGGACAAUCGGGCACAAUGAGUCAUCUCAGCCUCACAUUUCAGAUCCGACGGUGUAGAUGAGAUGAAGGCAGGCACGUCAUCACCACCAACUCGCUUUUUAUAGGAGUAGAGAUUUAUAUAUAGCUCAUGGAAACUUCUUACGCAAUUUAUUGUAGUCUUUUUUUGGUUGGCCAGGGCCAAUUUCGCAUAUUUCUGUGGGUUCCAAACUAUUUUUAAUACCGAAAUGUCCAGUCAGAUUUAAAGUACUUUGAAGAUAUAUUUAAAUUAGGUUAAUGCCCAGUGAAAUAGGAAUCUGAAAAUGUGAUAAAAUUCAGAAAUUAUAAAGUAAUUGCCAAUUUGUCAUCUAUUUUUAUAUUUACAACCCAUUUCAUAUUAGUUUCAAGAUUUGCAGGCGUCAAGAUCUUCAGAAAAAAUAAACCGGUCUCAUUUUCACAAAGAAAAAAUAGCUGGGCUGGUCAUAUGGUGAACAUAAAAUAUAAGCCUGGGCUAGACGGGCCACAGCCCAGUUCAAACCCUGCUCCGUAUCAACAAUACCAAACAAAAAAAAUACUGCUCGAGUAGCUACGUCCCAGGUGUCAGCCGAUCUUGUGCUGUUCUCUUGUCUAUUGACUAUAUACGCUCACAAUGUCGUGCGUCCCAGAUGUCAGGAAAACACUAGGAGGAAGCAUUUUAUUUUUCCAUACGCUGACGUGGUGGGCCCCUACUGUCAUCCUCUCCACCUACUUCUGCCGAUUCCUGUUGUUUGUUGACCAUGUUGACAACGCGAGAGGGCGGCACCGCGGCGAGCGCACCAAAGCGCGCGGAGGACGUCGGCGUUAAUGAUUUAGGAGACGGUGGGGCGGCGAUGCGUGCGCUGAGGCGCAGCCAGCCGUGGGAGGCGGAAGCAGACGGCCCCGCCGGUGCUGGUUUGGUUUUGGCGGCUGGAUGAAGACAGGACUGAAGAAACACGAUAGACUGUAAAAGCAGCAGGAGUACUUAACAACCUUAACUGAAACCAGCAGGGGCACUUAACAACCAAAGCUGAAAGCAGUAUGAGUACUUAUACAAGUUCAACCGUACAAAGCACGCCUCGAACAGUGCUACUUUGCCUACAGUUAACCAACGAUGAGGCCGCCAAGCCCCGGGACAAGGCCCAGGCGCCACCCCGCUCAUCCACAACCUUCUGAAAGCGGCUUCAUCUCACAACAUGGUCAAUAAACAGGAUAUUCGCUUUAGAGCCAUGGAAAAGCAUGAACAUAAUCUUCUGUCCUAUUCUCCAAGAUGGACGGGCCUUCAUUAUUUGAGACCACCCAUGAAUAAGUAUCUUUUCACCUCCAAGAGGAAUUGAGUAGGUUGACAUAAACAUCAUGUUGUGACCAAGCGCAAGUCUGACCCGACCAUGGUCAGGCAUCUGUAUAGGAACAAUAGAACUCGGCAGUUCCUGUUUCAAGAAGAUCACAACUGUAAAACUGUGUAUAAGCAAUAGUUUAUGAACAACAUAUAUAAUAGAAAACAGCUUGUACCAUAAGUUUCUCGACACAGUUGGACCUGUUCAACGAGUGCAGUAGUGGAACACAUAUCCCACGUGGCCUUCCACCAUUGAGACGCCCCACAAGGACCUCAAGACGAUUAAUAAAGUGUAGGAACUUGUGGAUGUCGACCCAGUCAACUUAAGUGCCAUUAGUAACAGUGGAGUUAUUACAGAGUAACAAACAAGCAGACUGCUUAACUCUGAAAAAACCUACACGUGCCACCAAUUAUAAGAAAAUAUUAGUUAGAAGUAGCAUCUUCAUGAGAGAUUCGUUGCUAUUUCUAAAUUUAAAUUGUGAUUAGUUAGACAGAAUAGGUGGAUUAAGAAGUAAUCGAGGCAACAAGCAAGAACCAGAUACAAAACUAACAUGGAUGAACAAUUGGAACGACGUCGGGGUGGAAGAUCGCAGUGAAGAUGAGACCAGGUUCUGCUAUUUCCAUCAACAUUCGUGCGCCAACUUUCAGGCUGUAACACUUGAGAAAGUUUAUCCAAGUUCGGCCAUAAAAAAAGCAGCGAUCUUAUUGGUUCAUGAACCCAACUCGGAACUUAUAUCCAUGGCUUGUCUUCACUGUGACCAUUAAACUAGUGUAUUCAGUUAUGGCAAGGCUGAGCAUCUUGAGUACAUGUGUUCUGGCAGAGCAAAUAAUACACUGCAGGAAAAAUAAUAUGAGAACACAUCAUGUUCAAAAAAACCCCACCCUCCUGAAUAGAAAAGAGGAUUCUAGAAACAUACUGUGCGCAUUUCAAAAUGCUGUGUUAGGAUGAGAAGGAACAAGUGUGGCGUCUCGCCGAGGGCGCAGAAACCUGUAGGGUACUCGCACUUUGGGCACUGCAAAUGAAACACACUAGAUUCAGUAGGAAGAAAAAUGCAUCAACGGCGGCGGCUGCCAUCCUAGGAUUACCUGCGACCAAGGGACUUGGAUUUAUCGGGGAUGGAUGAAGAAUUUGUACCUGGUUCUCCAUGGGAAAACCCUAUGCAAUCGUCGAGAGGGGGUUUUCUCUGAACAAGCAGGCGAGGGAGAAGGGGAUUCAGGCCCAGUGAAAUAUUGCCGCUUUGUCCGUCCAGCUUACUGCUAAAGCUGGAAGGGGGGGUUGUGAUUUGACGGCUCAUUGGGCAUUACUGCGGCGCUACGACUGGGGUGUGUCUACCGUGAAGUUUUGCAAUCUAAUUUGUGCAUAUGGCACGUGGACCCCGUUGCCGGUUGCCCCACAUAUCAGCGAAAGGAAGUAGAAAGACAGGAGUAACUAGUUAUACAUAAAUAUAUUUUUUGACAGAGAGAUACUCCCUCUGUAAAGAAAUAUACAAAUCUUUUAUAUCACAGGCUCACCUUGCCGAGAAAUAUACUCCCUCUGCAACGCACGGGCAUUAUGGGGGUUCGGCUUUUUUAUGGGGGUUCAGCUGAGAAUAUAAUACUCAGAUAGGCUCACGGUUCUGUACUUUGGGCCGCAGGCCGACCCUGCAUGUUUGGGGGCCCAUGUGUUCUACCUCAGCGCUUUUCAUAUUGCAAGCGAUCGGUACGACGCUGGUUUUAGAUGCUGUCGCAAGGCGAAUACACAAAAUUGAAUAAAGCACAUCAGCUGUUGGAAUGAAAUCGAACCACAGUUCCUAACCAACAAUCAGAGUUGCAAUUCUAUCAACGAUAUACCAUGUGAUAAAUAAUAUUAUCAUACUACUUAUACACAUAGGACACUUGUUUCACCAUGCCAGAUUAUUACAUCAAAAUCUCUUGGAGGAUAGAUCAGUUCGGCAGUUGCGUGCUACUAAUUUCAAAGUUGAUUUGGACCAGCUCUCCUUGCCGAGAAAGUUCGAUUUUGAUAUCAUCCCCUAUCGCAAGAUAUGAUUUAGAUUUGAACCUUGACCAUCCUUUAGCAUCAAUCAUCAUGCGACCAUCCUUUGUACUUACGGUAUAUUGAGCAGGUUCAUUCACACCAAGGCUGCACAUGGUAAGAGAAACUUGGCCGCGGUCGCCCGGAUUGUUGAACGACUCCCUCGUUGCUCUAGGAAUUCUCUGUUUGCAAACAAGAAGACAUACCCAAACAGUUAGAUCAACACAGUGAAUCAUGUGAAACAACAUGGAAAGAAAAAAGAACGAAGCACUUGGGCGGCCAAUGCUUACCAAGAAGGUGGACAUGUCAGUUUUUGUAAGGACUUUGGUAUAUGAAGUGCGAACUUCAGCCCAGUCUGUUGCCGGUGCAACUGCACGGGCCAGAGCAGAUGCAAGUGCAAGUGUUGGCGGGUGCCGAAGCCGCCGCUGCUGCCGGAGAUGGUGCUCCUUGUAGAGCUGGUGCCGGUGUCGGAGCAGGUGCCGGUGUCGAUGCCCGAUCAUCCGGUAGAUCAGACUGAUCCGCUGACGCGGUCGGUGCCCAAUCCUCAGCUGGAUCAGACUGAGCUACUGCCGCUGUCAGUGCUAGAGCAACUGCCGGUGCUCGAUCUGUGCGAGAUAAUGACGAUCGUGUCUGGUCUGCUAUGAUCAGCUUUCUAACUUGACUAGGAUCCGUGACCGUGAUCCAGUUUUUUCUUCAUUUCUUUUAAACGCGAGAAGGACUAAUUGUGGCGUUUUUGUUAAACCAAACUGCAGUUCAUCAUAGGAAUUCAGCUUGUACUCAGACAACAGACUGAUCCAAUUUUUUCCAGUAAUAUAAGUGAUGGACAGUGCCUUCGUUACUGACACGACAUAAGAAGUGAAACCUGCAAAAAUAGCCAUCGUAGAGCAAACCAAACGGUUUAUUCUGUGAUGAAUGUCACAUGGCAAAACCUGCAUCAUAAAAUUGCAGGAAAAGAAAGAAAACAUGACAUUAAAUCAAUAAGAUUUAGACAGUAAAUCAAUAAGAUUUACUUGAUGUGACACGAGUGAAUCCUUACCAGGAAAUCACUGUUGAAGUACUAAAUAGAAGAUUGAUCGUCCAACUACGUGUGGCAUGCAGGGGCCCUGCCUACUCCCACAAGCAGGACAGUCCAAAGGUCGUGACAAAUCGUAUGGACCGAACAUCCAUGGGACUAGAAACCGUGGUGGGUGCGAUAAACCCUGCAAUGCAUACAGAUAUUGAAGUGUAACCAUAAUUGAUAAACCGUCCUCACAAAAAUAUGAUCCGGAUACUUCAAAAUAUACAGACUGAAUUGAGUGGACAGACAUUAACAUAGACCAUUCUCAGGACUGACCACACACCAAAAGCGGCAGUACUAAUAAACAAUACAGGGUUCACAAACACAAAUCAAGUACUGAACAAUAGUACUUACUACAGACAAGCAAAGUUGCACUAACUAAACUCUGCAGACUAUUUCUUGCCACGGACCUACGGGAUGAACCCCGCAUAACUGACUAGGCCAUGGACUUCGUGUGAGAUGUCUACAUGCAUCAUCACCAUCUUGUCAACCUUGGAGAACCUAACAGAGUGGUCUUUCCACUCAUAAACAUGAUGAUGAAGACAGGACGCAUCAGAUUUGUUGGGAAGCUUUACAAGAACCACACCCUUCAUAAUCGAAGGCACAACCAGGAAAUUGUUGUGGUCAAGUACAGCCUCGAGAACACGCCUGAAAACAAUGCUACAAGAAAACAGUAGUUCAGGACACGUGGCGACAAGGACACAGCAGCUGGAUAGUUCAGCAGUAGAACUCAUCGUCAGGUCUUCCAGUUCACAUGGCAUGACUUUGAGAACUUCAUCUCCACCGCGGACCUGAUUCUAAUUCAAACAGAAACCAUAUUUUAUUACUACCUCCGUUCAGAAAUAUAAGAUGAUUUUCGAUAUUAUACUCCAUAUAUGAAUGACUACAUAUACGCACAGAAAUGAGUGAACAAAGACACUAGAACAUGUCUUCAAAGGCAUGAGAGCAGAGGGAUUACAUGUGUCGGAUUUCGGGUUCCGGCAGACCCUUGAGGUUCGAACACUGGGGUGCGCACGGAGAUCUCUCCCCUACCGAUCUACGUCAGGUCUUCUCGUGCGAACUAAGAUGAAAACGAUGAACAACACAAGGGACACGAGAUUUAUACUGGUUCGGGCCACCGUUGUGGUGUAAUACCCUACUCCAGUGUGUGGUGUGGUGUAUUGCCCCUCGGGCUGAUGAUGAACAGUACAAAGGAAGAACAGCCUCGCGAGAGGUGUCCUUGGGCUGGUGCGAUGAAGUGCUUGGGUCAGUUCAGUCGCCUCUCUCUCUAUCUCUCUGCUUAGGCUCUAUCAGAUUUCUCUAUGCCUAUGGCCGGAUGGCUCCAUGGAUCGAUCCAUCUACUCUGAAGUGGCUAGCUCUAUUUAUAGAGGCCCUGGGCCUCUCGCCGAAAUAAUUGAGCAGGAAGGGCGCCAACAAUUGGCCAUUUUGAAGGGGAACAUAUAGUACAAGUUAUCCUGGCCAAAGGUGGUCUUCGGCUGCCAAAAGCUCCGGUGGUGACGCCGUCUUGGGCUCCACGGUGACCUCCGUCCGGCCGUCCGGCUGGUCUUGGUCUCGUUGCACUGGAAUGGUAACCUUUGCCUGAUACCUUGGCCUGUGCUUGCCCCCUUUGCACCAAAGGGGAAACAAGGACUCUGCACAGGCCGGCGCCCGCCUGGCGCCCGCCUGACCUUGAUCGUCAUGGCUUGCGUCACUGGAUCCUCGUGAGGUACCCUUGCAUUGAUCUCUCUGCCUCCUCGCGAGCCCUGCCUGAUGAGGACAUACUUGAGGAAGCUCUCUGUCGUCCGCCCCACGAGGCUUGGCCCCUCGCGAGGGUCUUGAGCUUGUGUUGAUGGAGAUGGGGCUCGCUGGGCCCCCACUUGAGCCACGCCGCAGGCCGCAGGCAGGCAAGUCUGGGGACCCUCGUUCCCAGAACGCCGACAGUAGCCCCCGGGCCCAAGGCGCGCGCGGGCUUGGCUUAGCAAAGAAGCGAAGGGGCAAGCGUGAAGCGCCGCAGGCCCUAACAGCCUGCAGCCUUGGGCGCCGCAUGGCGGUUGAUUGGACGUGGGCGUCUGCGCUUCCCCACGACGCCUUGGCAACUGCGCAACUUGACUAGUCCCUGCAUGCAGAGAUAUGGGUCAUGAUUACCUGCGAUCGUGGUGCUCGGCGGUUGGACUUCUCCGGCUAUAAGUUUGGGGCCGCGUGAGCUCUAUCAGUUCGUCCCUUCCUGCUUCUUCCUCCUUCUCCUUGCUAGGACUGUCACGGAGGUCCGAUUCUUCGCCGACGCCUUAUGGGCGGGUCUAGUUCCCCCCUUUUCUGCUUUCUUCAAUGCUGUGCUCUCCCAUUACCAGAUCCACAUGAUGCACCUUGGGUCGGAAUCCAUUACCCUUUUGGCCGUCUUUGCUUUCGUGUGCGAGGCGAUGAUAGGCAUCCCUCCUUCUGUUGCCUUGCUGCGCCACUUCUUUUCCUUGCGCCUGAGCGACCCUACUCAAUGCUCGGGGUGUGUGAGCUUCUUCGCUGUGCCGGGGACGGCUGCUUCUGGGAUCGACUUCAGCCUUCCUUCAGAGCGGUGGCUGUGUGUGGACGUCGGGGUGCCCAGCCCCCUGCUCUCGCACCCGACCUUGCCUACUGUUCCCAACCCAAGCUGGGGUCAUGAACCGCUCAUGAGCCCCCGGCUCGCUUUUGUCUGGUGCCGCUUCGAGGGUUUGAGGGCACUCAAUGUGACAACUCCCAAGGUGGUGAGGGAGUUCCUUCUGUACCCCGUCGCUCCUCUCCAGCGUCACUCUCGCCGGAUGUGGGACUUUGCGGGAUGCGGAGACCGCAUGCGGCUUUAGGAGGAGGAUUUGGCGCCCGGAGUGCUGCGGACGGUGCUUCAGGUCUUGACUGGUGAUCCCUCCCCGGGUAGCAUAUGGAGCGGUGUCGCCCUUCUGUACCUUUAUUCCGGCAGGGCUGAUUUCGUGAGGCAGAUGCCCAGCUUCGACGAGUGGGGGUUGCGCCCAGCUGGCCUCACAUGGCCACGUGAGAACCCGGUUGCUGUGAUAGUUCCCCCCGUCGCCCGCAGUGGUUCCUCCUCAGGCGACCGGGUGGGGGAAGAGCCAACUGGAGCCGAGGUGGCCGCUGCCAAGGUGGUGGCGCCGCGUGAAGCUUCGGAGACGACGCCUCGGGAGGCCCGCCCCGAGGCGGUGUUUGAUGCAGGGUCCAAGUCUUCGGCUCCCGAGGCUGGGGCUUCCGAGCCCCCAGCCGUUCUUCGCGAGGCGAUGCCCCAAGAUACCCAUAAAGCUGACUUCUCCGGCGCCGAUAAUCCUAAGGCAUCUCCUUUGUCCUGGGCCGACCCCCAUCCCAGGCGCUUGCGUCGGUUUCGCAUAGACUUCGAGGCCCUUCGCAAGAGGAAGGAGGCCUCAGAUGGUAGUGACCGCCCUCGCCGCCUGCUGAAGCGCAGGAAGUACUUCGCCAUGGACGAGUAAGCCUUCUUCUUUCCUUGCUCAUUUGCUCUGUUGCCCUCGUUGUUGAUUGUGGCUCUUCAGGUCCCAUCCGGCUGAAUCCACUGGGUCGGCUCGGGAGCCAGCCCCUUCAGCUUCGCCUCCUUUACUGGCUCCGGGCCCGCCGAGCUCCGAUGGCACUCUUGUCGCUGGACCGGUUGGCGGAGUGAUCUGCUCCACGGGGCACCCCGAACCCGUUCACCCGGUGCCCCCUCUUCACGAGUCUUCUUGGGGCGUGCCAGGCUUGCCCCGCGCCUUCCCUCUGAUCAUAGAAGGUGAAUGGCUAAAGUCUGCUCUUAGCUCCUCCUCCGUGAGUGAAAUGACGCCUGGUCGGACUCCCGAAGGGGUUUGUUCGGCGAUGGAUGGGGCGGCAGCCCCCAGCCCCACGCCUGGCGGGGGCCUGCUGCCUCGAGGCCCUCCGCGUGCUCCAGCGGAGGAGGGUGACGCGGAAGAUGUGCUCAGGCGCGCUUGCGAGCGUCGCGUCCUUCGCGAGGGGUUCCUCCAGGGGGAAGCGGAUGCGAUAAACCGGGUCGGGGCAGACCUUGCCGCCGAAGAUGCACGCCUUGAGGCCGAAGGCCUGCGCCUCGCUGAGGAGAGGCACAAGUUGAAGGUUGCCAUUGCCCUCGCGCGCCACCAACGCGAUCGCGACAACGUGAAGGCUGAAGUGUUGCUCGCGGCGUCGCGGGAGGCCUGCUCCCUGGCCGUCGAGGAGGCUCGGGAGGCAGACCGGCGACACAGGGACGCGGAGGAGCGCGUAUGGGAGCUCCAAGCCUGUAGGAACUCCCUGGAGCAGCAAGUGGAGCUGCGCCACGUGGCCCUUUGGUCGAUGCAGGAGGCCGCCGUCGACUGUGCGGAGCUCCAGAGGCGCGAGGAAGCGUUGACGCUCAAGGCCGCCGAGCGCAACCUUGACUUGGAGCGGUUGGAGACAAGGGAGCGCCUGGCGGCCCAGGCAGAGGACAACAUGGCAGCGUGCGAGGCCCGGAUCCAGGAAGAGGUCGACCGCCGCGCGGCGGGUGCUCACUCGGCCCUCGAGCGUGAGUACGAGGCGAAGUUGACGCUGAUUAGGGCCAAGGCCAAGGGCAGGACAGCGGCCAUCAAGGCCAAGUUGGUUGAAGAGAUGCGGCACGCGGAUUCCUCCGCAGCCGCCCUUGCGGCGGCGCGGGCGGAACUGUCCUCUUCCCGGGAUGAGCUGCUUCUUCUUCGACAGAGGGUUGUUGAUGCCGAAGCCACCGCACGGCAGAAUGAGGACGAGAUCCGCCAGCGGAGGCUCCUGGAGCACGAGCAUGCUCCCAUGCUUCAGACGCUCAGGGAGAAGGCCAACUCAGCCUUAGGUGAGAUUUGCGAGGCCUCCGCUAAGGAACCGCAUGAGACCAAGUACGCUGACAACCUUCAGUUCUUUACCGACGUGGUGACGCUUCUGGAGGACCACUCCGAGAGGGCUCGUUGGCUUGUUGAAGAGAGGAGCCGAGACUUACUUAAGCGUGCCUUCUCCCGUGUCUUCAGCUAUCUUCAGGAAAGGGACCCCCACUUCGACUUUGAUGCCGCCAUCGCACCCGUGCCCAUAGCUGUCCGGGGUGACCUGGUGCAAUGGGUGGAGAAUAACAUGGAUGCCCUCGUCCGGGCCUUCACGUCUGACGAUGACGGAGUGGUCGUGGGUGCUGAUGCUGGUAGCGUUGAAGGUGCGCCUGGUGCUGGCGGAAACGCGGGCGGUGGGGGCGACAACGUCAAUGAUGCCAGUGAUGCUUUUGAGGAUGCCCCGGAGGACGCGGUGAGUGAUAUGUCCGACUGACUGCAUGUCUCCGCGGUUCAUCCUGCACAGAGAAGACUCGGGCUUGGCCCUGAAGAGUGUAAGAGAAUUUUGAGAGGGGAGGCCCCUCAUGUAAAGAUUUGUAAUCGGUACCCUGGCGGGUACAACGUUGCGCGUGAGUUUGGCCGUUAGCCUAGCGAUGGUUCUGUCGAUUUGUUUACCUUUCAGCCCUGGUGAGCCCUGAACGGGCCUGUGAAGGGGGCUUCGCGCCUUGGGCCUCCUUCACAGGUACCGGCGAAGGGGGCGUCGCACCUUGGGCGCCUUUUGAUUAACCCGCCGAUCCUGCGAUGAGAACCUCCGGAGAGGGAGCGGGGACAGUGGUCCUGGUCGCAGGCGUGCCUGGCCCGGCCCAGAUCACGAGGGGCUCGUGAGGGGGGGGGCAGCCGAUGCUAGCUCGGGGCGUAAAAGCCGAAAUCAGAACGCGAGAGAUUGCUCGAACGAGACUAAACACCCCUUCCCCAAAAACAUGCAAGCUUCAAACUCAAAUCCAACUUAAAUUCAAACCAAAGAAACUUGUCAACAAGGGAGAAGCAAAAAGCAAAAGGCCGCGUCCGGCACCUAGUCUAGUCUUCGACGUCUUCUCACCAGCACGGAGCUAAGUGCUGCCACUGGGCGUGGGCGGGAGCCCCAGGGCCUGAGGCCGGCACCCCUGAGACUCCGGGGCGUGUAUAGCCCCACUCAUUAUUACAUGAGAGUGUCACGGGGCGGCGAGCUUCACAGGCACUGGGCCUUCUUCAUAGGUACCGGCCUUGCUUCAUAUCGCCAGACGAGGGCCCCGCCUUGCGCCACACUCUACCGCCAUUGGCGGCGACCGGAAACCAAGGACGACGCCAAUGGGGUAGAGCGGUCGGCAGCGGUUCCCCCGACGACCACGGGUCCUCUGCCGGGGGCAGGCCACGGGGCACCUCCCCGGCAGAGGGCCUACCGCCUGAGAACACCUUGCUCCAAACGCCGCAAGGGCGAACCUUGAUCUCGGCCCCUCUCCUGCAGCCCCCUGCGCCCUCCUCCUGAGGGGUAGGAGGCCGCAACAUUAGGGCAGCCAUCUGCUGUGGCGACCUGUACCUCCUGCGACCCAUGGUUAGCGUAAGCUUGCUCCUAAGGGAUGAGUGGUGCCCGAUAGUUGUUGCUGUCAGUGUGGUUGUCGAGGCUCUCCUGAGGUCCCUGAAAGAGCUCGGCUUCUGGCGCCUCCUCGUCCCAGCCGGGCCCGAGGAACGAGCCGUGAUCUUCCUCCAGCGUGCGUCCCUGAUCCACCAUGCGGGGGACAUAAGCUUCCAGGGCCACCACCUCGUGGACCCCACCGUAGCGCCCCGCAUGCCAUGCAGUCUGGUUGGGGGCGUCGCCUUGGGGGUGAUGGCGUGGUGGUCCACUGAAGACGAAGGCUGGGGCGCGCAUCCCUUCGCCGGCCUGAGGAAGGGCCGGCGCGACCUGCCGCCCGAUGCUGAUGGUGGCGUUGGCGCUGGACGGGCCCGGGAGUCCGCUUGGAGUGGCAUGAGCACGCACAACGCCGAUGUGCGAUCCGUCCUAGGCCUGGGGCGGCAACUGGAUGCAGAAAGGGGGUGCUCCUGAGGCGGCGGCGUCCAGGAGCUCGGACACUCGCUCCAGCAGCACGUCGCGGCCGCCUUCCAGUAAGCGGCACCGUAGUAGCUCUCGGGCCACCGUGAGCGCGGCCCUGGAGUUCGCCUGCUCUCUCGGGUGUACGGCGCUGUGGCAGCGGCAUGGUUCGAGGCCCUUGCUGAGGACGUACUUGAGGAAGCUCUCUGUCGUCUGCCCCGCGAGGCUUGGCCCCUCGCGAGGGUCUUGAGCUUGUGUUGAUGGAGAUGGGCGUCGCUGGGCCCCCACUUGAGCCACGCCGCAGGCCGCAGGCAGGCAAGUCUGGGGACCCCCGUUCCCAGAACACCGACAACAUGCAAAAUCCAUAACACAAGUUACUGAGGCAAAUAUACCCUCUUAAAAGGUAGCAUUGAUGUUCAUAAAGUACUCCCUCCGUCCCAAAAUUCUUGUCUUAGAUUUGUCUAGAUACGGAUGUAUCAAGUCACAUUUUAGUAUUAGAUACAUCCGUAUCUAGACAAAUGUAAGAGAAGAAUUUUGGGACAAAGGGAGUAGUUGAAAGUAAUCUAUAAGAAAUCAGUGUCAACCUCUCGCAUGUUUUGGUCAAAAGAGGAAUUUAGAACCGUCAUUUGGCACACAAAAAUCACAUGCAAGAUCACCCAGAAAAUUGUACUACUAGUACUAGUACUGCGUGUUAGAUGAAAAAACACGAUCAAGAUCGAGAAAAGAUCGUCAAGAAGAUAUAUUACCUGGACUUGCUUAAUGAGGGAUCCCGGAGAGGGGGGAUUGGACAGGGCGAUGGCUUUGAGCUUGUUUGCGGUAGUCUCGGCGGGGUGCUUGCGCUUCUUCGUACCAUGAGCCUCGACGGUUUUGGCCGGAGCCAUAGACAUCACUUCGGCCGGUGACCCAGCGUCCAUCAAGAAACUGUCAAAUAGAAAUAAAAGAAAAUAAACCAUAAUCACAAGCCCAAAAGAAUCAAAGAGAGGGAGUUAUAGGAUCAGUCUCGGGGUUGCAAGACCAGGCCUUGGCCAGAAUCAACAACAUUGAUGCGCUCACCUUUCCUUCUUUGGGAGAGAAGAACAAUGGCAGAAGCAGGUCGGGGUUUUCUUGAAGAAAUGAGGAACAAGAUGAGGCAGAAGCGAGGGUUGGGUAGAGAGGAAGCUGAGAGAGAAGAGUGAAAUGAUGGUUGCUUCGUCCGUCCAACUUACCGCUAGAAAGGAGGGGGUUUUGUGAUUUGACGGCUCAUUGGGCAUUACUGCGGCGCUUCGAUCGGGGUAGUCUACCAUCACUCUACUACGGAGUAAUUUAGUGCAUGGCUGGUGGACCCCGAUGCUGGCUGUCCCACACGUCGGUGAAAGUGAGUAAUUUAGUGCAUGGCUGGAGGAGGAUCCGCACGGUAGAGCGUGUCCACUGUUUUUCAAAAGAAAAAAUGAUUACAACAAGUGUUUCCACUCUUACGACGGAGGAGUGCGAAACACGGCAGCCACUUGAACAUACACAGUGCUCCUACUACUAGGCAUGUGCAGUGGUUCAUACGUCAGUACUACACAAUCUUGUUGCUAGUGUAGUAAGAUAUGACGAUAACAAAUGAUGUUGUGCGCAUGUCAACUACUCCUAUAUGUAACGAAUACACGAAGAGGAAACAACUAUAUUGAGAUGAGAAUGCAACCAAACACACCCACACGCUUUGUGCUACAGUGACUGAUCUGCACCGUCUGAGUUUGAUCCAACGGUCAUGUUGCGCCGAGACAUGGACAUGCCCAUGCAGAGGGCGCCUAAACACCACCAAAGUCCCUCUGCUUCUCGAGGCACACGACGUUGGUGAUGCAGGGUGCAACCGCCCGCAGAGCCCGCUCCCGGUCGACUGGAGCGAGCUCGUCAAAGACGGCGUCCAAUGGCACGAAUGGAUUCCGGUGACGGAGCCCUAAAAGGAUUCACCCGGCAACGGCGACGGCAGCCUGCAACCCCUCCUUGUCCAGCUCAGCCCCCACCAUCGUGCGAAGACGGCUCAGCUCCUCGGAGAUAUAGGUGAAGAAGGAGACCAGGUCAGGAAGCCGCAGCUCGUUGAAGUCGACUGGGUGGUCGAACGGGUUUAGCCCGAUGGCCCGCAUCGUCGCGCUGGCAUGAUGGUAGGCAUCGCGUAGCCGCAACACGUGCGUGGAAACUUGGUUCACCAAGUGGCUGAGACGAUCCUGGACCUCGUCACGAUCGGCCCGCUCGCGCUCCAGCCAGCUCCCUUGAUGGCCUAUCGUAUCUCCCGCUUUCUGUAGCAACGCCACCGACACCUCGAGCAUCUUUGUGGUGGACACCUGCCGCUUUUGAAGCUCCGUGAACUCCCACACAUAACGGAGGAGCAUGGCACUCCUCUCCUCCUUGAGCUCACGGAGCUCCACGUCCUUGGCCCUGAGCUCCACAACCUUGGCAUGGAGCUCCUGUGUCAGGAGCCUCACCUCAGACUUCGUGAUCUGCUGAGCCACCAUGGCACCAGGUGGAAGCAAUGGGGAGAGGAAGAAAAGGGGGCGAAAUAGCUGAAAGGCAAUGCAAUCUACGGGAAGGCGGAGGGAGCGGGGAAUCUUUUGGUUUUCACCACGGUAAAACACCAGUCGAUGACUUCUCACAUCCGGGAGUGGUGGGUUUUUACAGGCAGAGUCAUCGUGACUAAUUGCUGUCGCGCCUGCUCCCGUCAAUCAAAAAAUUAAAAAUCCUGUCGCGCCUGCUCCCGUCAAUCAAAAAAAUAAAAAACCUGCCGCACCCAAACACUAGAGCAACGCCGCGGUGGAUAUUUAUAUUUACCUGCCGGCAAGUAGAUAAAAAAGGGGUGAAAAAACAAAUGUGGCGGCGGCCUAGCUAAUCGGUCGAACUAGCCCAACUAGCUAGCCACCGUGCUUCACUGAUGUACUCGACGGGAAAGGUGGUCUUUCAUGAUUUGACGACUCAUUUACUUGCUUCGGCGCUACGACCGAGGAGGACCCAGAAAAUGCAUGGUAGGGCGUCCCACAUCAGGAAGAAUAUAUGUGUGCACCACCCGGGAGGACCCCAGAACCGCGCGGUAGGGUGUGCCACGUCUCGGCAUGGAAGAAAAAUGUUUGUGUAAAAAUAUACUGUAUCAUACGUAGUACCUAUGGUUCGACCUCGGGACCCAGCCAGUCGGUCGAAAACACCCCACUAGCCACACAGCUUCAUCAUGCAAACGUGGCACGGAGGAUAGAUGUGGUUAGCUCCGUCUUGACCAGCCACAACGUAUCUUGUUCUAGGCGAUUCUUCUAUUUUCCAAGCUUUUUUAGUUGUAAUAACACCACGGCAAGCUAGCGCCACUCUUCGUGUGUGCUCGUGCAAAGGUUAGACGAUGGAGAGAAGAGAGAUUGAGAUCGCAGACCUGGGACCCACUAGUAAGUGAGACAACGGUCAUGCACGUGUUGACGAGGCACUCCCUCUACUCUACUCAAAGAAAGUACUGUAUAAAUAAAAUCAAGUUAUGGGACAAAGCCAACAACCGUUCAUUUUUUCAGGCUAUCGACUUACGCUUUGUAGUCCAGGUUGCCAGUUCGAAUCUCGUCUUUCAGAUUUGUUAGUUUUAGGUCCAAAUUUGAUUAAUGACAAGUGGGACCCCCGUGUGUUGUUCCGAUAUUUCAGUGUAGGAUGGUUUUUUUUUGAACAAACACUUUGCGCGGUUAGACAAGUAACGGCACGAGUUACACGUAUUUUGCAAGUUUAUGAACAAAAAUGACAGCGGCAUAGAAUAUCACAUCCAGCCCGCAGCUUAGAUACUAUGGUGAUACGAGUUUUUACCCUGUUGGAAGUGAGAUCCAAUGGCUUGGGAGUAGUCUUUGUAAUUAUGCGCAAUUUCCAAACUCUUCAAAGGUUUUUUUACAAAUAAAACAUUCAGGCCUCGUGUGUGCCGCUGCAUCUUCAAUCCAACAGCUCGCCGGUGCUCAUAUUAGGUGCUCCCCGUAGCUUAAUUACCCGCUACGGUGAUAUGAGCAUCUAGGUCGUAUGAUCAAUGAUCAGAUGGCACAUGCGUAGUACUUGUACUUUCUGCGCAUUUCCCAAACUCUAUCAGUCGUAUAUUGCAAAAACAUUCAAACCUCCUAUUGUGGGCCGUUAGAUCUCAGUGAACUCGUAUCACCAUAGAAUUUACGAUGCGGGAGAACCUCAUACUCUCCCGUGCGAGAAAACAUAAGGUGCUAUCGCAACUUGGAUGCUAUGGUGAUAUGAGCUUGGAGGUCGUUUGAUCUGAGAUCCAAUGGCAUCUGAGCAGUCUUUGUGCUUGUAAGCAGUGGCCGAACUCUUUUGGGGCUUUUCUGCAAAAAACCAUUCGAACCACCGAGGAGGUGUUGGGUCACAAAUCCAACGCCUCCGAAGAGCUUAUAUCACCAAAGCAUCUAAGGUGUGGUAGCACAUGAUAUUCUUACAUACAGGAGGAUAUGAUGUCCUCCUUCAUCUUAGAUUCUACGGUGAUACGAGCUUCGAGGUCGUUGGAUAUGGGAUGAAAGGGCAUCUAAGUAGUUUUUGUACAAAUUGUGUGCAAUUCUCAAACUCAUCAAGGUUUCCUGGAGAAAUAUUAAGACACAUCAUGUGAGCUGCUAUAUCUCAGAUCUACAAGCUCCAGGCAACUCGUAUCGGCAUAUAGCAUCUAAGGUAUGGGGGCACAUGAUAUUCUCCCGGGGAGGAGGGGUGGGGGUGCACAACCAAUCGGUGGCUGGGAGGGCGGGGACAAAUAUAAUCUAAACAACCCUAAACCGAGCUCCACAAUUUUAUCUAAGGUCGAGGGGUUGACCCCCGAUAAUCAUAGCUCCGCCUAAACAGAACAUUUGCAUGUACUGUAGUAAUAGACUUAAUAUUCAUGUUUUAGUUUCAUGUUCAUUUUAAAUAUUGAACUGAGGACCAUGGAUGUCUUACAUUUUACUCCCUUCGUUCCCAAAUAUUAGUCUUUUUAGAGGCUUCAAAUGGACUGGCACAUACAGAUGUAUAUAGACAUAUAUUAGAGUCUAGAUUCACUCAUUUUGCUCCAUAUGUAGUCACUUGUUGAACUCUCUAAAAGACUAAUAUUUAGGAAUAGAAGGAGUAUUUUUGAAUUCGUGUCAUACAUGCAUGGUUUGCAAAAAUAGAUGCACUAUACUUAUUGGAUUGUUGUUCUGUUCGUGCGUGUGUCUCUCUCUCUGUGUGUGUGUGUGGUCAUAUGCUUGAUACAUACAAAGUUUUCUCACCUCCAUGUUGUUCAUCUUUUAAAUUUGAAUUUGCAUUGGUAAACUUACUAGGGAUACCAUGAAAUGUGAAAUCCACAUUGAGAUCACUAUAUCACAAACUCAUUCUAAUUCAACAACUCGUCAUAAAUCAAUUACCACGUUGAGAUUAGUAUUUGCAAGGAAAAUACGGGUAUUGUAAUACACAUAGAUUCGUUCGGCAAUUUAAAAGGUUCCUUUCGUAUUCUCGAAUGGUAGGACCCAACGGCGUACCAGCCAGACCUUGGCUAGUGUUGAUCCUAAAAAAAGCGGGCUCAUGUCCUUCGGUGGCGUGCGUGGUACGCACAUUAGGCAACCCCAUUACCCCAACCAGUCGAGCCUCAUCGUUUCAAGUCGAAAUAUCUAGCGGCCAGAAUUCCAGCCCUAGGAAAUUACCCUCAUGUCCCCUGUCCAUAAUGACUACCGAUGAACAACCGAGGGAUGCUUUAGUAACUAGACAACGUUACCUACCGUGCCGAGCACGGUUCAAUUCCCUCGGUCGCUGCUCGUCAAGGUCACCCGUCAACUGCAUUGCCUAGUACUACUACUACUACUACAACAACAACAACUACUACUACUACUACUACUACUACUACUACUACUACUACACCAGGAUGAGCAUAGAAUUGAGCCCGUUAGUUCGUGCCUAGUACUUGAGUUAAUAUAUCAGGCAAUGCACUGGUACGGAGGGAUUAUCCUUUUACUCUGCAUAUAUAACUUGUCUGAAGUCUAACUAAGCAAAAUGUUUGACCAAAUCCUUUCUUAAGAAAUACAACAGGACAGAUGUACGGCUUGAAAAUUUAUUGCAUGAUGCAGGUUAUGAUAUUGUUUCGAAUCCUUUAUCUUAAAUUUCAGAAAAUCCAAAAGUGAGCAUAAAUUCUUGAAACUAAGCAUGGUCACGUGAUAUGACACAAAUAUUACUUCAUAAGUUUUUUCUUCAAUUUGAGACAAGCUGCUUAUGACAAGUUGCACAAAUGAAGAGCCAAGGUAUUUUGGAAGAAAGACCUGUCAUGUUACGUUUACGUGCUGCCACGUGUCCCCGCUUCUCAUAGGCAAUCGGCAGGUGCCGUCCGAGCAAGCGUGUUAGUCGAUAGGAGGCGUGCGAGCAGACCGCUACGCCGGCUGUCAGGGAGGCCUGCGAGCAGACCGCUGUGCAGGCUCACCGGGAGGCGAGCCCUUUGACCAGGCUCUGCCACUCACCGUCGUCCCAACUGCUCCCACUUUUAAUGUCGCCGACGCUGCAGUUUAAAAUCAACCCCGCACUACCCAGUUUGAAUUGAGCCUUAUAAACCGGAAAGGAGGGAGUAUCGCUACAAUCCUCUCUCUUCCUCUCCGAUUCUCCUGUCGUCUACCUCCAACUAGCCUGACCUAAACGUACGCCAUGCCGCAUCAUGAUGGUCUGCCCUUAGUGUUCCAGUUUCCUGAGGACGACACCCAGCCGGAGUCUCAAGAACAUAAGGCGCUUUGGGACGAGCUUGAACUGGCCUUGCGGGAAGAUGCCACGCCUGUCCCCGCUCCCGUUCCGGCUCCCGUCGCCCCGACUGCGCCAGCGCCCAUCCCCGUGGCAUUGAUGGGCUGGGAGCCGCACAUUGUCGCCGAGCUUGAUCCCACGGGGUUCCACGAGGUGCCCGCCGACUUUCAUGCGCCCGUGCACCUGCCAGCACAUGCGCCUGCGCGUGCACUGACGCGCACGCCCGUGCCCGUGCCGGUGCCCGUGCACCUGCCAGCGCCUGCGCCUGCGCGUGCACUGACGUGCGCGCCCGUGCCGGUGCCCGUGCACAUGAAUGUCUUUGCCAUGCCGUUGACAGCGCCUGUCCCCGCGCGGGUGCCAGUGCUCCCCUCAGUGGCAUGGAUGGCCGCCGUCGACCGCUUUCUUGCACCAACGUCAGUCGCCUCCUCCCGCCAGUCGACUCGCUCCGAAGUCUAGAACAUUUUGGCCUUCCUUGAAGCUAGGCCAACAUCCAGGAGUACGCCAACAACGGUGCAAGACGCCGUCGUCGCCGUCGGCCAGUGGCCCGACGACACACAAAGCGCGGCAGAGGAGCCGUUUCCCACCGCGAGACACCCCCGCCGCCGCCGCGUAAUCUAAAUUUGCCAUGAAAAAUGUUCGGAUUGCCAUGCUUAAAAUCCGAAUGUUUAUCAUUUCCGUUUAUUUUAUAUCGAUCGUCGUAUAAUUUAAAGUCGGAGUCAGACUGAACGAAAUGUAUGGUUUGAUCGAUUGAAUGUUCUGCUAGAGCCGUAUCAAAUUAAAUAUAAAACGUCAUCAAGCCACAUGUAUUCCUUGUCAUCCAACGACCUAGAAUGCUUCAAUGUUGAGCGCUCAACACGUUUAGCGUGCAGUUAAUUUCAUGUCAAAAAUAGUGCUAAUCACAUGACAACACGCAAAUAAUAUCCUAGUAAUUAAUAUCCGCUUGCACUUAAUAUACAUCCAAAUUAACGUUCAUUGCGCGUACACACUGACUAGUGCUGCUAGUACGUGAAACUGGUGCCGUGACUUGUGAACGCGUCCAGAUAUGGUCAACGGCAACAUCACCCGCAAGUUCUUCCGGUUUGCCCGUGCGUCUAAAUGCAGAAGGGGAGGAGAGAGAGAGCACACAUGGAACCCACCAGUAAGUGAAGACGUGUAGAUAUAUUUUGUGCGUGGGAGGAAGCAAGGUCAACCGAUCACAUAGGGUCGUCGUGCGAUCGAAAGAGUGAGACGGGUUGGAGAGAGUGACCUAGAUAGACAAUGUGCGUGAGAGAGUAUACAAUGUGAAUAGGUCGAAUUGGGCUCAAACAUGGUGAUAUAUCGUUUUUGUCCGAGAAAGAGCGAGGUCAAUCGAGACAUACGGAGAGAGAGAGAGAGAGAUUGAGGGUGUGUUCGGAUCCUCUCCGGCUUCACAAAACUCCACAGAUUCAACUUCUCCUCCGCGCUUCUAGCUUCAGGUAGCGAUUACAGAAGCGUUCUAGACAUCGGCAGCUUCUCCUGCAGCUGUAGCCCAGUUGAGAGGGUUGUGGCCUGUUAGGCGGAGGUUUGGGCCGGCUGGAUGCAGCCCAAUUAGGAGGGGCUAGCCGUUCGAUCGAUGAUUGACAUAACGAUUCGAGAGGAUCUGUUUCUUUUUGAGAGGAGGCAGCCAAGCGGUAUCCUUGGAUGUGGCAAUUCGCUGUAAAUAGAGAAAACUCCACGCUUCACAUUUUGGUGGAGCUGGGCCGGCCUUGCUUCUCUUUUUUGCACGUAGGGAAGGAGCGGCUUCGUGAAGUCAGCUUCUCGGGCUAAAACCGUUCGGGACAAUUUCAUACAUGAAGUUUUUGAAGCGUGUAGCUGGAGGACAUCAGAACAGGCCCUGAGUGAGCAUGGCCCACCAUGAGGUCGAAAGAGUGGUGGCCUCUUGGAUGGACUGGCCUAGAUAGACAAUCUGCAUGAGAGAGUAUAGAGUGUGUCGAUCGAGGCCCGAAUAGGGAGAUAUAUCAUUUGUGUGUGAAAGAAAACGAGGUUAAACGAGACUCGGAUAAAGAGAGCGAGAUUGAGCGAGUGUGGCCCGCCGUGCGGAAGAAAGAGUGAGACAGUCUCGAGGGAGUGACCUAGAUAUACAACAUGCAUGUGUGCGCAUGCACGAGAGGUUGGGGGGCUAGAUAGGCAAUNNNNNNNNNNNNNNNNNNNNNNNNNNNNNNNNNNNNNNNNNNNNNNNNNNNNNNNNNNNNNNNNNNNNNNNNNNNNNNNNNNNNNNNNNNNNNNNNNNNNNNNNNNNNNNNNNNNNNNNNNNNNNNNNNNNNNNNNNNNNNNNNNNNNNNNNNNNNNNNNNNNNNNNNNNNNNNNNNNNNNNNNNNNNNNNNNNNNNNNNNNNNNNNNNNNNNNNNNNNNNNNNNNNNNNNNNNNNNNNNNNNNNNNNNNNNNNNNNNNNNNNNNNNNNNNNNNNNNNNNNNNNNNNNNNNNNNNNNNNNNNNNNNNNNNNNNNNNNNNNNNNNNNNNNNNNNNNNNNNNNNNNNNNNNNNNNNNNNNNNNNNNNNNNNNNNNNNNNNNNNNNNNNNNNNNNNNNNNNNNNNNNNNNNNNNNNNNNNNNNNNNNNNNNNNNNNNNNNNNNNNNNNNNNNNNNNNNNNNNNNNNNNNNNNNNNNNNNNNNNNNNNNNNNNNNNNNNNNNNNNNNNNNNNNNNNNNNNNNNNNNNNNNNNNNNNNNNNNNNNNNNNNNNNNNNNNNNNNNNNNNNNNNNNNNNNNNNNNNNNNNNNNNNNNNNNNNNNNNNNNNNNNNNNNNNNNNNNNNNNNNNNNNNNNNNNNNNNUACAUAGUAUGAGACUUAAUAUCGAUGUUUCAAUUCGGUGUACAUUGUAAGAUUUGAACCGAGGAGCAGGCAUACGGGUAAUUAUUUUGAAUUCAUGCCAUACUAAGUUUCGAAAAGUUGACAUUGACUCAGUUUGUUGUGCUAUUUUGUAGGUCAUAUGUUUGAAUCCAUCCAAAAGUUUUCUCAAUACCAUGGUGUUCAUCAUAUACGUAUGCAUUUGUAUUAAAAAAAGUAGCAUGGAUAUAGUGAAAUGCGAAAUCCACGUUAGAAUUGGAUAUUGCUACGUGACACACACUCUAAUUCAAAUAACUAACUACGUGACACACACUCUAAUUCAAAUAACUAAUUAUGUGAGACACACUCUAAUCCACGUCAGCAUGGGUACCGUUUUGAUUUUUUUUAAAUAACUCCUCAUUAAUUAAUUUAUAGUACUCCCUAUGUUCACUUUUAUAAGACCUUGAAGACAUUUUAGACAAUGUGCAAAACAGUUCAUUUUAAGUUAUUUGAAACGACUUACAAAAGUGAAUGGAUGGAGUAUCUCAUUUCGAAUGACUAGUUAUUGCAAGGAAAACAUGGUCAUGGUAAUACAUACAGAUUCGUUUGCAAAUGAAAGAAGAUUCGUUUGCAUUCUCAAAUGUAGGCUCACCAGGCAAACGAGGGUCGUGUCGUUGUGGAUGCUACUUCGGUGCCUUAANNNNNNNNNNNNNNNNNNNNNNNNNNNNNNNNNNNNNNNNNNNNNNNNNNNNNNNNNNNNNNNNNNNNNNNNNNNNNNNNNNNNNNNNNNNNNNNNNNNNNNNNNNNNNNNNNNNNNNNNNNNNNNNNNNNNNNNNNNNNNNNNNNNNNNNNNNNNNNNNNNNNNNNNNNNNNNNNNNNNNNNNNNNNNNNNNNNNNNNNNNNNNNNNNNNNAGUUCGCGCUUCCAUGUUUCGGAUUGAAAUAUCUGGCGGCCCCUUCUAGCCCUGCAAAAUCUCUCUUCUCCACCGUCCCCUUCCGCGCCCAGAUUUCUCAAAUCCCUAAUUCGCCACCAACCCUCGAAUCGCCCCUCGUCUCGUCUCUUUCCCCACCGUUCCCCACCUCUGUGCCGGACGACGAUGACGAAGACGACGGUCGCGCUUCACCACCGCACGGGAGCUACCUCAUCUACGCCCUCGUCCACCGCACCGGGUGGUCCACCGACAACGUCGGCCGCCACAACUGACGUGCCUCACAGACACCGAGUUCCACCGCAUCAGGUGCGCUUCACCGACGCCGUCUCCCAGCUCACCGGGGCUACUUCACCGAGCACAUCGUUGCACCUCCGCCCCCCGAGGCCGUUGGGGCUUCACCAACGGUCUCGUCCACCGCAUCAUAGCGCUUCGCUGCCACUCAAGAUCUGCAUCCGUGCGCGGCCAGCCAACGCCAGCGCAUCACCCUCAACGGCUCUGAAGUGACCCGCACUCUAGCUAGGCGAGCAUGCCCAAAUGCCGGCCCGAACUAGGUAUCCACACAUCACUCCCUUGUGCACUAUUCCGAUGAUGUUUGGAUAUCCUUUCACUGCUCUCUUAGCUUACACGCCUAUGCAACUCUGACCUUAACUCUUAUUUCUUCUGGAGAUAUCAUCUGAAACAAGCAAAUCCAUAUUUUAGCGAAGCAUGACGGCGCUACGGGAUCUGGUACACAUCGUGCACACCCGUAUAACCUUUAAGUAUCUGUCCUCCGGUACAACAUCAAGGUCGAUUCCUCUUAUUUGAUCAACCAUUCGCCGUGUCAAAAAUGCAGAGGGGGGUGCAAGGAGCACAAGGCCUGCACAUCCAAGCAAGUGGUAACAUGGACUUGUACAUGGAACAACCCAAGCGCAAGCAGAGCUGCAGUGAGCCUGUACAACGAGCUAGCGUAAGUCCCUGCAUUUCAUUUAAUUCAUACUGGCAUUCGUGUAUGAUUUGUGUGCAGUUGCUGAUCCACGAAUUCAAGUUACCAGGGGCGAACAUUUAACUUAACAAAUACAAAGACACUUGCACUCCAGAAAUCAACAUAACUUGAGAAAUGUGAAGCUACAUGCCCUUUGAAAACCAGCUAAUGAUCCAAAGUAGUUCAGAUUAUAAACACUAAAUGAUGCAAGCACCAAAAAACACAAAAUGCAACAUGGUGUACAAGGACUACAAACAUGGUCUGUACCUGCUUGAAUUAUUCGUUCUCUGGCUGAAAAUAUCGAAGUGUAAUUGCACGUAUAACCAGUGCGCAAACUGCAUAUCAAUAUAUCUAUCCUGCACAAGUAUGCGAAUAGUUUCAAACAACAGAUUAGAAAAGUAUUUAUGCUAUCUUGUCAUGAUACGGGGACUUUCUGGUAGAUGGCCUCGACGUUUCCUCAAGCUAUGAAAAUGCACUAUAAUUUGCUUGUCAUCAAUGCAUGCAAAUCUCUGUCUCUCUCAACAUAGUAGAUCAUCAUUAGACACUAAAUCCUUCAAUGAGCUUGCAAAAUGCUUGCAUUAGAUCCCUCAUUAGACACUAUAUGUUCAUCACCAGGAGCAUGUAAAAUGUUUGCAUCAAAUCCUUCAUUAGCAGUCUGUUCAUUAGACACUUCAGGCUCAAGAACAACAUGAGCUUGUAUGUUUGCACCGGAAACUUGAUUAGAUACAUCAGAUUCAGUCAGUUCAGUAUUGAUUGGGGGAGUUACUCAUAGAUUCCCUACAUACAAGCAGUUUUACAACACCGUCAGGUUUAACUAUUGGCCAGAAAUUGAAGAGUUGAAUUAGAUAUAAUCAGGGAUGUGAUGUACAUGCUCGUUGUGCAUGCUACUCUUGCAAUUAGCGACUGUCCAUUUGCGCAAGCUCGAUGCCAUGCCCGUGCUGCCGCCGCUGCCUCCCACGCAGGCUACACCCAGGGUUGGAUCUUCAUCUUCUUGUCCUUCUGUUCUCUUGAAGCCCGGCGACGGCCCUCCAACGAGGGCGCGAGGAAGUGCUAUGUCGGUCUGUCCGGCGGCGGCUAGGUUAGGAGCGAACCAGACUGAAGGCUGGAGCGAAUGAAUUGGGAUUUUUCCUGCUGUCGAUCGAUAUGGGAGGCGCUCGUUUGGGCCGCGAGCCUGCUAUAGGGCAUGCCUUGCACUUAUGUUAUUGGCCCAUCCAAAUUGAAACAUUUUUCUUCAUUUUUUACAUUGCCUGCUCAUGAGUUGGGACGAACAAAACUAGCGUGGGCCAACCUGGACGACUAAACUAGGUGCACACUUUCCAGCCACCUGAGGCAACCGCCCAUACCAACCCCUAUGGUGGCGUCGCCCCUUUUUGCGUGUAUGAUUGGAUAGUAAAAAAUAUUCCAGUGGCACUUUUGAUUUACCCACAGAAUGGUUGAAUUGCUUGUUUCUAUGAACUGAGUUCGCCAAUAAUGUGAAGGAUGCCAGUCUUUUCAUCCUAUUGUAGAUUGCUUAGAUCUCGAUAUGCCAAAAGUAAUCGCAUGAAAUAUACAGUAAAAGCCAGUGUGAUGUGUUUGGCUACAACUAGUCUGACUACACGUCCUCAUAUAACAUAUCAAGGACGCACCAUCUUACUAGAUUAACCAUUCGACUUACCCAUGCAGUGUGGGAAGAAAGAAGUAUUGGGACUGCGUAUCCAAGCAAUUGAUGCCAUGGACUCCUUCAUACAACCAUGUAAGCGAAAAAGAAGUUGCAGUGUGCCUGUAGAAAGAACUAGCGUAAGUUCAGUUACCUGCUUCUCAGAAUUUUAGUUAGCCACUUAUUGCAAAAUUGUUCAAUUACGUUGCUUGGCUUAAUUUAGUUUGCUACUGAUUACAUAAUGGCACAGCCUAUUAAUCAUAUUGUAGACUGCGCCUAUCUAUGUGUUUGAUACUUACUGUUAAGAAUUACCUGUUUGACUUAACUUAAAUAUCUACUUGUUUGUUUAACUGCUUUGCUGCUGCAACAGCGGGUUACAAUGAUGUUAAUAACUACUUUUCAGCAUCCAAUUGAAACUCUUUAAUUCCUUGUUUGUUUAACUGGUUUGCUAUUAUAACUCCCAGUUGAGAUGUUUUGCGAACUUCAACUUUUCUGAAUCCAAUCGGAACUUUAAUGGCAAAAAAGGUUAGCCCAAGAUCAAAGAGCAAGGUCCCCAUGGACGUUGCAUCAUCCCACAGCAGUGGCACCGGCCCAAUCAUGCAUUAUGAAUUGCCAACUGCUGAUGCUCUAGAGGCUAAACUAGUGGUAGAAAGAGAUUCUGCUUCUGCACUUAGAGAUGAAGUUGACAUGUUGAGGAAGCAAACAGCACAAUCACAAGCAGUACUCAAGACAACCAUUAAAUAUUUGGUGGAUUUCAAAACGAAGCAAGCUGAGACUGACCAGAUUGUUAAGGUCCUGAAGGAAAAAAGGAAAUUAAAUUCCUACUUGGUAAAUCAUAGGUGAAAUGUUCUUUCCAUAGUUGAAUAACCUUUGUGUUGUCUGUUCAUGUAAUCAAUCAAACCAUUUGUUUUAGAGAUCAUGUAAUAAUUGUUUUUUGUUUGUAAUUUUAUUUGAGCACAAGUCUGUAUUAAUUGAUAAGACUCGGAGACAUUUCAUUUGGAUUGCUGUGCCAGACCUACAAAUAUGCCAAUCGGGCUGAAUGUGCAUUCAGCAAUACUAAUAUAGAUGGACCAUAAGUGGCACGCAUCGGAAAGGGCCAAGAUGCUGGCUAAAAAAAGGAUGCUGUUGUAGCCAAAAAAGUACAACGGCCUGGCUUAUGUAUGUUAGUUGAUAUUAUUGAUCCAUAUACUCUAUAAGUGUUUAUAUGUUUGUUAGUUCUGUACAUUCUUGGUUGAUUGACUCGGUAUUUGAAUCUUGAUACAUCGCUUGUGUACAUAUCUAAAUGGGAGUACACAUUAUGCUGCGUGUGACAUUGGAGUUGGACAUGAAGUGUUCCAAAUAUUCGAAUUCACCUUAAACUGGAUUCUAGUUUCUAAAUUUGAGUAUCGGCAUUUGUAAACCAUAUUCAUAUAUGACAGUGGAAUACAUCUUUGUCGUCCUUUUGAAGAUAUAUAAAAACACAUAGAAUGAUUUAUAAAGAUUCAUAUAGGAAUACAAAAUGGAUUCGAAUUUAGUUGCCAGGGUAAACGUGGAUGCUUAUUGUCCCAAAAUUCGAAAGAAACAGCAAAAUGUCCACUCCCACAUCGGCUGCCCGAAGCCAAGUGUUUGGGAGAUGGAAAUUACAGUCCACCCAUUACACGGACAAUCCAUCGGCCCGAUUUCCACUACUCUAAAUAGGGGUAGUUAGUAACUUCAAUUAGACGUGACACGACCGCCUCUGAGCCCAUUCCGACACGGUGGGCGUCAAACAUGGGCGGCAAAACUCAUUUGAUUCAAGCUCGUCCGAAAGACCUAUGUUUCUCCCUCCAUUCCCCAUUCAUACACGGUAGGCGGCAAAACAAACUCUCCUCAUCCGAAAUAGAUGUAGGCUAAUAUUUUAAAUAGGGGCAGAUGUGUAACUUCCAUCAGACGUGACACAACCGCCCUACCUAUCAGCCCCGUUCAUACACCGUGGGCGCCAACUGUGGGCGGCAAAACACCCUCUCCUCACCCGAAAUAGUUACCAGCAAAUAUUUGGGAGAUGCGAGAUUACCGUCCUAUCCCCAACCGACGAGACGUCCAAAUUUGAAACGGGGGAUAAGUUCGUAACUUUCCCAUAUUUCAGACAGGCGCGUCCCAAAAACAUGGUUCUCCCUCCAUUUUCCCAUUCAUACACCGUUCGCGCUAGAACACCCCAUUCCCACACCAGCCUCCGUCCGCCACCCCAUCCAUCGCCGAUGUCCUCCACCACAUCCAUCGCUACCGUCCUCCACCAUGCCGGAGCACCUACCAAGACCGCGUCAUCCACUGCUAGAGAUGGACGUUUCUCAUCCACGGUGACGGACCAAUAGCCUUGCAUCGCGUCCUCUCGCUUCAUCGGCGCCGUCGUCCUCUUUGCCGGGGCCGCUCACACGACCUUCUAUUCCACCGCAAUGGGACUUAUCCCCCGAUGCACCCGUCUACCAUCGCAGAUCUGCUUCAAUGCCACCGACAGCCAUCGCACCCCCGAUUCCUACACGGUGCCGCAAGAGAGGCGGUACUUCAUAUCUCCUCAACUUUUUGAUCUCAACCAGAAAAUAGAUCUUAACUUGGUUACUCUACUUUCUUUUUUAGCUCUUAGAAUUUAGUUCUUAGUUCGAAGCAAACAAUGGAUGCUAAAUAUCAUUUAUCUGGUUUGCAGCUUCAAAUCUACCAUGGCACAGCCAUAAUACGGUCUAAUUGAUCAUGCUUAGGGUUUAAUUGAUCAUGUUGGUUCCAUGGUGAUUUCUUUAAUAGAAAUCAGAGGGGAAACCCUCUUUUUCUAAAAAAUAUAUGCUUAGAGUUUCCCCCUUUUAUGAUCACUAUACGAUCAGAAUACGUGCUUCGUUUCAUAAUAACACUGCUCCACCCAUCAAGCUAAACAAGCUUAGUUAUUCAAAUACGAAUCUGAUAUUAUUAAAACAAAGUUUUUUAAUUGGUCAGCUAAAUGUUCCUAAAUUAGUUUCGAAAAUGCAUGUUCGCCACUCGGGUGUGUAUCUCUGUGUGUGGUCUGGUCAGCACGGUUGGGGAGGUGAACUUUGCAUAUGCAGGGGUUUAUAGGGAGACACUCUCCGAGUUGAAACCGCAAUGCAUUCCAUAGAUAAUCUGACUACUUUUUAUGUUUUCAUGAAUCUCAGAUUCUGAACAGCAUCAUAAUGAUUAUGAGCUUGCGCGCAUGAAAAGAAUAAAGCAGAACAAUGCCAUGGUUGUCAAACUUGGCAUUAAGGGACUGAAAUCAAGUCUGGAUGCAAUGCAAUGCAAACACUCUCCACCUACAGAUUCAUGCUCAGAAUAUGAUCCUAACAGUGAUUCUGAGCUAGAGGGAGACCUAAGUCAAUGUAGCUCCCUAGUGGAGGAGUUAGAGGAAGAUGCCCUAUCUUAUUCACCCAUCAAGGUACUUGCUCUAACUUUCCAAGGUUACAUUGCUCGCACAUAUCUUGCAACUGAUGCUUUGCAUUGCUUCUACUUUGUUGAACUGCCAUUAGCUUAGUUUACACAUCGUGUAUGUGAAUACGCCCUGCCUAUCCAUUUUUAGUACAUAUUCCAUCUGUCAUCAUACCAUAUUUAUCCAUUCAAAUGCUGUUCUUGUGUAUCAGACGUUCAAAAGGAAGAGGCCGAUUGCUGAUCAUGGAGGAGCACAAGCAAAGUAUAUGGAAAAGGUAGUGGCACCUGAUAAAUCAAAUAGCCCAUUAGGUGUAGUUGCAAUAUCACCUGGCCCACAAAAUACCCCAACUCUAGCAGACUCUAGCCCUACUACACUGGUCAUUUCUGAUGCCCCAACUCAGCAGACCCCAACUGCAGCAAACAGUAUGAUUAUGCCAGUUGACAUAGCACCAGCUGUACGACGCAAAACCCCCAUUCCAGCAAAGAGUACACCAAAUCCAGUUGCCAAAUCCCUUUUCGAACGAGAGAGAGCCCCCAUUGUAGCAAAUAGGACCCCUGUUCCAUUUCUUCCCAGUUUAGAAGAUGAAGCUUAUGUUGUGUCAGGAACUUUGUGCGCAUCUUUCCUUCAUGGAAAGAUUAUACCGCAGACACAGAACAAUUUCCAGUCUUCCUCUGCAACUUACGCGUAAGUAAUGUACUAAUGUUAUUCAUGGUCAUUACUGCAUAUGUUUCUGCUGACAGAAGACACAAGAUUUCUUUUAAAUAGGCGAGGCACAAACUAGAUUGUGAUGACGAGCAAGGGUUGGUUGCGCUUUUCAAGCACUCGUUGAUGAAGUAUCGUUCCUACCUGAGGCAAGCGCACUUCGAUGGCAAGCCUCUGAACGAAAUUUGUGUAAAGUCUCCGGUGCUACAUUUAUCCAACGGUAACUGGAAUAAUCUUGUUACACAUUGGUCUCGGCUGCAGCGUAAGGUACUGUCUAUGAUAUCACAUCACAAUUUGAACUACGUUUCUGCAUUUGCCUUAAUGCCUCACUUGUACGAAAACUGUUAGUAGAAGAACAUUCGUUCUCAACGGACCACAGAAUAUCGCAACUAUACUUUACACUGCAUUACUCUUGUGAGUACCUCUUGCCCUGUAUGACCAUACUUACUUUCAUAGCUGUUUGAUUAUGUAGCAUCACUGCACAUGUUAGCCUCGUAAUCAUCCAUUUGGUGGACAUUAUAAGAUCCGUAUGGACUCUUACAUAAAUUUAGAAUCAACCCAAUGCUUUUGAAGAGGUUUAGCUCUACAGUCCUCUUGUAAGGACUGAACGUGGUCUAUCACUGUACUUACAUUAACAACUACUCCCUCCGUCCCAUAAUAUAAGAACGUUUUGUACAGUACACUAGUGUUCAAAACACUCUUGUAUUAUGGGAAGAGGGAUUGGUUCAUUUUGUAGCAUUCUGCAUCUUAUCUCCCUCGCCCACCAUUUACUAAAAAAGAUCAGAUCUAUAUUUAAUCUUACCAACAAGUAGAAUACACAGACAAUGCCAGUGCAGAAGUGUAGCCCAUUGCUCUUGUCAGUACAUUUUGUGCUGUAACGCUUGUACUUCCAGGGACUGGUAGUUGAUUAUGUAGCAUCAAUCUGCAUCUUAUCUUCAUUAUCCUCUACCCCUUCCAGUAUUAUCAUAUCUAUAAUUACUCUCUACAAAAUGUAGAGUACAUGCAAUGCUUAUGAAGAAGAUUCUAUGCUGAAAUUCUUGAGUUAUCCUUCCCUUGACAUGGAGAAGGGCAUUAUAAAGCCGGUGUUAACUAUUAAUGUAAGUCAGUCCUUCUAAAGCCUUUAUCCUCAACUGCUGUUUAAUUUGCUCAUACUCCCUAUCAUUUACUGCUGUUUAGUUUGCUGUUUCUACCAAAAUGCAUGUUUGUAAGAACUGUAAGUUCUAAGUUUUACUUGUAAAACCAAAUUCCUUAUUCAUACCAUGCACAUUACUUAAUACUCCCUAUAUGUAUGCUUGUUUUUGUGGAUCUAUAAUCCAGUGUGUGGUGAAGCAGCCCACGUUUGCACCAUGUCAUCUCCUGUUUUAUCUUACUAAUGUGGCUAAUGAUAUGAACAACAUGCCAUGCACAUUAUCCAAAAUAGAUACAAUGAUUUUCUUUGCCCUUCAUCUAUGCUUGUUAUAUUGACAUGGUAAUCCAGUAGUGUGGUGAAGCUCCCCACAAACUGUCGUGGAAUUGUCAUGGCAGAUGUCCUCUUGCAAGGACUUAGUCAUGGAGCCAUCGCAACUAGGAAGCUUAAAGGGGUUAAUCGGGACAAAGGACACGAGAGGUUUAUACUAGUUCAGCCCCUUGCGGUGAAGGAAGGCCUACGUCUAGUUGGGUUGGUAUUGCUUGAUGUUUCGAUGACCAGGGAGCGAGAUAUGCUAUGCCCGGCUUUUGAUGGGUUGUUUCUUGCCCUAAGCCGCCGGUGGGUCGUCCCCUUAUAUACAUGGGUUGACGCCUUGUGACCUACUGAGUCCCGGCCGGCUCAUAAACAGUGUCCGGCUCGGUGACUAGUUAUUUCUACCUUAUAUUACAAGUCACGCCAUCAUGGCGGUUUGUCACUAUGGGCCUUAAGCCGCCCGUGGGCUUUAAACCCUAUGAACCGCCAUCCUUAUGUUGGGUCUUGGGCUUCUUUCAAGAUGAGUCUUCUUUGCGUAACCCGGCCCCUCCUGGGCGGUUUACACAAAUAGUUAUAUCCCCAACAUUAGGCCCCAGAUUGAUUUGAACCGGUUCAUGUCAAUCUAAAAAUACUUUAAGAAAUAAACCUUUAGUCUUCUGCCUGUGCAGAGGUUUUAACCCGCCAUGAUGUCAUCUUCUGGAUCUGCGUUAACCCGUCGCGACGUCAUCUUUAAUUAAAUUCAUAUUUUACUCCGUUAUAUCCUCCAACGAAUGUUUGUCUUCACUGACCCUUCCGAAAACCAAGGCGUCGGGGCCGCUGGAUAAUGAUGUUUGGCCUCCUCGUUUCUUGUGCCGUCUCAGUCGGCCUUCCCUUAUAAAUAGGCACGACCUAGGUCUUCCAUUUCCCCCUCUUUCAGUCAUCUUCUUCCUCUUGCUGCCUCGCUGCCUCUCGAGCUCCGUCGUCGCUGCCGUCGAACUCGUCGUCCUCACCGACUCAGGCCACUGCAUCGACCUGAAUCUGACCAGAGAUCAACGGCAAACUUCCGCAGCUCGUUCACAUCCGUGAGUUCCUCUCCUUUCCUUUCUUAGAUCUGCAUUGGAAAUUUCUUGAGCUCAUCGGUAUUCAUCGCCGUCCGACGCUAAUCAUCACUAGUUUCCUCCUCCAAUGCCCUGUUUUAGAUCGUAAAAACAAUGUAGAACUGCUGCGGCGAUUGUCCGCACUUAUUUUGUAUAAAAUAGAUCUCAUUUCCCUUGUUUGGAAGCCAUCUUCGAGUGCAUGAACUUCUCUGCACUGUUUUACGUCUAGAAAUUUUUCUUUCUAGAGCGACCAUUUGAUCCAAAAUAAUAAUUGCAACUUGUGAAACCUGUUUGUUCCACACUUAGACAAAAAUUGCCUCUGUGGAAUCUUGUUUUUGUUGGGUUUCGUAGUAAUUUCAAAAAAUUUCCUACGCACACGCAAGAUCAUGUGAUGCAUAGCAACGAGAGGGGAGAGUGUUGUCUACGUACCCAACGCAGACCGACUGCGGAAGCACUGACACAACAUAGAGGAAGUAGUCGUACGUCUUCACGAUCCAACCGAUCAAGCACCGAAACUAUGGCACCUCCGAGUUCGAGCACACGUUCAGCUCGAUGACGAUCCCCGGACUCCAAUCCAGCAAAGUGUCGGGGAAGAGUUCCGUCAGCACGACGGCGUGGUGACGAUCUUGAUGCACUACAGCAGCAGGGCUUCGCCUAAACUCCGCUACAGUAUUAUCGAGGACUAUGGUGGCAGGGGGCACCGCACACGGCUAAGGAAUAUAUCACGUGGAUCAACUUGUGUGUUUCUGGGGUGCCUCUGCCUCAGUAUAUAAAGUACUAGAGGGGGGGAGGCUGGCCGGCCAUAGGAGGCGCGCCAAGAGAGUCCUACUCCCUCUGGGAGUAGGAUCCCCCCCCAAUCCUAGUUGGAUUAGGAUUCGCGGAGGGGGAAAGAGAGAGAGGGGGCCGACCACCUAUCCUAGUCCUAAUAGGACUAGGGGAAGGGGGAGGCGCACAACCCAUGUAGGGCUGCCUAUUCUCUUUUCCACUAAGGCCCAUCAUGGCCCAUUUAGCUCCCGGGGGGUUCCGGUAACCUUCCCGGUACUCCGGUAAAAUCCCGAUUUCACCCGGAACACUUCCGAUAUUCAAACAUAGGCUUCCAAUAUAUCAAUAUUUAUGUCUCGACCAUUUCGAGACUCCUCGUCAUGCCCGUGAUCACAUCUGGGACUCCGAACAACCUUCGGUACAUCAAAAUGCAUAAACUCAUAAUAUAACUGUCAUCGUAACCUUAAGCGUGCGGACCCUACGGGUUCGAGAACAAUGUAGACAUGACCGAGACACGUCUCCGGUCAAUAACCAAUAGCGGGACCUGGAUGCCCAUAUUGGCUCCUACAUAUUCUACGAAGAUCUUUAUCGGUCAGACCGCAUAACAACAUAUGUUGUUCCCUUUGUCAUCGGUAUGUUACUUGCCUGAGAUUCGAUCGUCGGUAUUCCAAUACCUAGUUCAAUCUCGUUACCGGCAAGUCUCUUUACUCGUUCUGUAAUACAUCAUCCCGCAACUAACUCAUUUAGUUGCAAUGCAUACAAGGCUUAAGUGAUGUGCAUUACCGAGAGGGCCCAGAGAUACCUCUCCGACAAUCGGAGUGACAAAACCUAAUCUCGAAAUACGCCAACCCAACAUCUACCUUUGGAGACACCUGUAAUGCUCCUUUAUAAUCACCCAGUUAUGUUGUGACGUUUGGUAGCGCCCAAAGUGUUCCUUCGGCAAACGGGAGUUGCAUAAUCUCAUAGUUAUAGGAACAUGUAUAAGUCAUGAAGAAAGCAAUAGCAACAUACUAAACGAUCGGGUGCUAAGCUAAUGGAAUGGGUCAUGUCAAUCAGAUCAUUCAACUAAUGAUGUGACCUCGUUAAUCAAAUAACAACUCAUUGUUCAUGGUUAGGAAACAUAACCAUCUUUGAUUAACGAGCUAGUCAAGUAGAGGCAUACUAGUGACACUUUGUUUGUCUAUGUAUUCACACAUGUAUUAUGUUUCCGGUUAAUACAAUUCUAGCAUGAAUAAUAAACAUUUAUCAUGAUUAUAAGGAAAUAAAUAAUAACUUUAUUAUUUGCCUCUAGGGCAUAUUUCCUUCAGUCUCCCACUUGCACUAGAGUCAAUAAUCUAGAUUACACCGUAAUGAUUUUAACACCCAUGGAGCCUUGGUGCUGAUCAUGUUUUGCUCGUGGAAGAGGCUUAGUCAAUGGGUCUGCAACAUUCAGAUCCGUAUGUAUCUUGCAAAUCUCUAUGUCUCCCACCUGGACUAGAUCCCGGAUGGAAUUGAAGCGUCUCUUGAUGUGCUUGGUUCUCUUGUGAAAUCUGGAUUCCUUUGCCAAGGCAAUUGCACCAGUAUUGUCACAAAAGAUUUUCAUUGGACCCGAUGCACUAGGUAUGACACCUAGAUCGGAUAUGAACUCCUUCAUCGAGACUCCUUCAUUUGCUGCUUCCGAAGCAGCUAUGUACUCCGCUUCACAUGUAGAUCCCGCUACGACGCUUUGCUUAGAACUGCACCAACUGACAGCUCCACCGUUUAAUGUAAACACGUAUCCAGUUUGUGAUUUAGAAUCGUCCGGAUCAGUGUCAAAGCUUGCAUCAACGUAACCUUUUACGACGAGCUCUUUGUCACCUCCAUAUACGAGAAGCAUAUCCUUAGUCCUUUUCAGGUAUUUCAGGAUGUUCUUGACCGCUGUCCAGUGAUCCACUCCUGGAUUACUUUGGUACCUCCCUGCUAGAUUUAUAGCAAGGCACACAUCAGGUCUGGUACACAGCAUUGCAUACAUGAUAGAUCCUAUUGCUAAUGCAUAGGGAACAUCUUUCAUAUUCUCUCUAUCUUCUGCAGUGGUCGGGCAUUGAGUCUUACUCAAUUUCACACCUUGUAACACAAGCAAGAAUCCUUUCUUUGCUUGAUCCAUUUUGAACUUCUUCAAAAUUUUGUCAAGGUAUGUUGUUUGUGAAAGUCCAAUUAAGCGUCUUGAUCUAUCUCUAUAGAUCUUAAUGCCUAAUAUGUAAGCAGCUUCACCGAGGUCUUUCAUUGAAAAACUCUUAUUCAAGUAUCCUUUUAUGCUAUCUAGAAAUUCUAUAUUAUUUCCAAUUAACAAUAUGUCAUCCACAUAUAAUAUCAGAAAUGCUACAGAGCUCCCACUCACUUUCUUGUAAAUACAGGCUUCUCCAAAAGUCUGUAUAAAACCAAAUGCUUUGAUCACACUAUCAAAACGUUUAUUCCAACUCCGAGAUGCUUGCACCAGUCCAUAAAUGGAUCGCUGGAGCUUGCACACUUUGUUAGCUCCCUUUGGAUCGACAAAACCUUCUGGUUGCAUCAUAUACAACUCUUCUUCCAGAAAUCCAUUCAGGAAUGCAGUUUUGACAUCCAUAUGCCAAAUUUCAUAAUCAUAAAAUGCGGCAAUUGCUAACAUGAUUCGGACAGACUUAAGCAUCACUACGGGUGAGAAGGUCUCAUCGUAGUCAAUCCCUUGAACUUGCCGAAAACCUUUUGCGACAAGUCGAGCUUUGUAGACAGUAAUAUUACCGUCAGCGUCAGUCUUCUUCUUGAAGAUCCAUUUAUUCUCAAUUGCUUGCCGAUCAUCAGGCAAGUCAACCAAAGUCCACACUUUGUUCUCAUACAUGGAUCCCAUCUCAGAUUUCAUGGCUUCAAGCCACUUUGCGGAAUCUGGGCUCACCAUCGCUUCUUCAUAGUUCGUAGGUUCAUCAUGAUCUAAUAACAUGACUUCCAGAACAGGAUUACCAUACCACUCUGGUGCGGAUCUUACUCUGGUUGAUCUACGAGGUUCAGUAGUAUCUUGUUCUGAAGUUUCAUGAUCAUCAUCAUUAGCUUCCUCACUGACUGGUGUAGGUGUCGCAGAAACAGUUUUCUGUGAUGUACUACUUUCCAAUAAGGGAGCAGGUACAGUUACCUCGUCAAGUUCUACUUUCCUCCCACUCACUUCUUUCGAGAGAAACUCCUUCUCCAGAAAGUUCCCGAAUUUAGCAACAAAAGUCUUGCCUUCGGAUCUGUGAUAGAAGGUGUAUCCAAUAGUUUCCUUUGGAUAUCCUAUGAAGACACAUUUCUCUGAUUUGGGUUCGAGCUUAUCAGGUUGAAGCUUUUUCACAUAAGCAUCGCAGCUCCAAACUUUUAGAAACGACAACUUUGGUUUCUUGCCAAACCACAAUUCAUAAGGCGUCGUCUCAACGGAUUUUGAUGGUGCCCUAUUUAACGUGAAUGCGGCCGUCUCUAGAGCGUAUCCCCAAAAUGAUAGCGGUAAAUCAGUAAGAGACAUCAUAGAUCGUACCAUAUCCAGUAAAGUACGAUUACGACGUUCGGACACACCAUUACGCUCAGGUGUUCCGGGUGGCGUUAGUUGCAAAACUAUUCCACAAUUUUUCAAAUGUACACCAAACUCGUAACUCAAAUAUUCUCCUCCACGGUGAGAUCGUAGAAACUUUAUUUUCUUGUUACGAUGAUUUUCAACUUCACUGUGAAAUUCUUUGAACUUUUCAAAUGUUUCAGACUUAUGUUUCAUUAAGUAGAUAUACCCAUAUCUGCUUAAAUCAUCUGUGAAGGUGAGAAAAUAACGAUAUCCGCCACGAGCCUCAGUAUUCAUCGGACCACAUACAUCUGUAUGUAUGAUUUCCAACAAAUCUGUUGCUCUCUCCAUAGUACCAGAGAACGGCGUUUUGGUCAUCUUGCCUAUGAGGCAUGGUUCGCAAGUACCAAGUGAUUCAUAAUCAAGUGGUUCCGAAAGUCCAUCAGAAUGGAGUUUCUUCAUGCGCUUUACACCGAUAUGACCUAAACGGCAGUGCCACAAAUAAGUUGCACUAUCAUUAUCAACUCUGCAUCUUUUGGCUUCAACAUUAUGAAUAUGUGUGUUACUAUUAUCGAGAUCCAACAAGAAUAGACCACUCUUCAAGGGUGCAUGACCAUAAAAGAUAUUACUCAUAUAAAUAGAACAACCAUUAUUCUCUGAUUUAAAUGAAUAACCGUCUCGCAUCAAACAAGAUCCAGAUAUAAUGUUCGUGCUUAACGCUGGCACCAAAUAACAAUUAUUUAGGUCUAAUACUAAUCCCGAAGGUAGAUGUAGAGGUAGCGUGCCGACUGCGAUCACAUCGACUUUGGAACCGUUUCCAACGCGCAUCGUCACCUCGUCCUUAACCAAUCUUCGCUUGAUCCGUAGUCCCUGUUUCGAGUUGCAAAUAUUAGCAACAGAACCAGUAUCAAAUACCCGGGUGCUACUGCGAGCAUUAGUAAGGUACACAUCAAUAACAUGUAUAUCACAUAUACCUUUGUUCACCUUGCCAUCCUUCUUAUCCGCCAAAUACUUGGGGCAGUUCCGCUUCCAGUGACCAGUCUGCUUGCAAUAAAAGCACUCAGUUUCAGGCUUAGGUCCAGGUUUGGGUUUCUUCUCUUGAGUAGCAACUUGCUUGCCGCUCUUUUUGAAGUUCCCCUUCUUCUUCCCUUUGCCCUUUUUCUUGAAACUAGUGGUCUUGUUGACCAUCAACACUUGAUGCUCCUUCUUGAUUUCUACCUCCGCUGCUUUCAGCAUCGCGAAGAUCUCGGGAAUAGUCUUGUUCAUCCCUUGCAUAUUAUAGUUCAUCACGAAGCUCUUGUAGCUUGGUGGCAGUGAUUGAAGAAUUCUGUCAAUGAUGCUAUCAUCUGGAAGAUUAACUCCCAAUUGAAUCAAGUGAUUAUUAUACCCAGACAUUUUGAGUAUAUGCUCACUAACAGAACUGUUCUCCUCCAUCUUGCAGCUAUAGAACUUAUUGGAGACUUCAUAUCUCUCAAUCCGGGCAUUUGCUUGAAAUAUUAACUUCAACUCUUGGAACAUCUCAUAUGCUCCAUGACGUUCAAAACGUCGUUGAAGUCCCGAUUCUAAGCCGUAAAGCAUGGCACACUGAACUAUCGAGUAGUCAUCAGCUUUGCUCUGCCAGACGUUCAUAACAUCUGGCGUUGCUCCUGCAGCAGGCCUGGCACCCAGCGGUGCUUCCAGGACGUAAUUCUUCUGUGCAGCAAUGAGGAUAAUCCUCAAGUUACGGACCCAGUCCGUGUAAUUGCUACCAUCAUCUUUCAACUUUGCUUUCUCAAGGAACGCAUUAAAAUUCAAUGGAACAACAGCACGAGCCAUCUAUCUACAAUCAAACAUAAACAAGCAAGAUACUAAUCAGGUACUAAGUUUCAUGAUAAAUUUAAGUUUAGUUAAUCAAGUUAAAGAACUCCCACUUAGAUAGACAUCCCUCUAAUCCUCUAAGUGAUUACGUGAUCCAAAUCAACCAAACCAUAACCGAUCAUCACGUGAGAUGGAGUAGUUUUCAAUGGUGAACAUCGUUAUGUUGAUCAUAUCUACUAUAUGAUUCACACUCGACCUUUCGGUCUCCGUGUUCCGAGGCCAUAUCUGUAUAUGCUUGGCUCGUCAAGUAUAACCUGAGUAUUCCGCGUGUGCAACUGUUUUGCACCCGUUGUAUUUGAACGUAGAACCUAUCACACCCGAUCAUCACGUGGUGUCUCAGCACGAAGAACUUUCGCAACGGUGCAUACUCAGGGAGAACACUUCUUGAUAAUUUAGUGAGAGAUCAUCUUAUAAUGCUACCAUCAAUCAAAGCAAGAUAAGAUGCAUAAAAGGAUAAACAUCACAUGCAAUCAAUAUAAGUGAUAUGAUAUGGCCAUCAUCAUCUUGUGCUUGUGAUCUCCAUCUCCGAAGCACCGUCGUGAUCACCAUCGUCACCGGCGUGACACCUUGAUCUCCAUCGUAGCAUCAUUGUCGUCUCUCCAAGCUUAUGCUUCCACGACUAUCACUACCGCUUAGUAAUAAAGUAAAGCAUUACAUCGCGAUUUCAUUGCAUACAAUAAAAUGACAACCAUAAGGCUCCUGCCAGUUGCCGAUAACUCGGUUACAAAAAGUGAUCAUCUCAUACAAUAAAGUUCAGCAUCAUGUCUUGACCAUAUCACAUCACAACAUGCCCUGCAAAAACAAGUUAGACGUCCUCUACUUUGUUGUUGCAAGUUUUACGUGGCUGCUACGGGCUUAAGCAAGAACCAAUCUCACCUACGCAUCAAAACCACAACGAUAGUUUGUCAAAUAGACUCCGUUUUAACCUUCACAAGAACCGGGCGUAGCCAUACUUGGUUCAACUAAAGUUGGAGAGACAGUCGCCCGCAAGCCACCUAUGUGCAAAGCACGUCGGGGGAACCGGUCUCGCGUAAGCGUACGCGUAAUGUUGGUCCGGGUCGUCUCGUCCAACAAUGCCGCCAAACCAAAGUAUGACAUGCUGGUAGGCAGUAUGACUUAUAUCGCCCACAACUCACUUGUGUUCUACUCGUGCAUAUAACAUCAACAUAAAUAACCUAGGCUCGGAUGCCACUGUUGGGUUUCGUAGUAAUUUCAAAAAAAUUCCUACGCACACGCAAGAUCAUGUGAUGCAUAGCAACAAGAGGGGAGAGUGUUGUCUACGUACCCAACGCAGACCGACUGCGGAAGCGCUGACACAACGUAGAGGAAGUAGUCGUACGUCUUCACGAUCCAACCGAUCAAGCACCGAAACUACGGCACCUCCGAGUUCGAGCACACGUUCAGCUCGAUGACAAUCCCCGGACUCCGAUCCAACAAAGUGUCGGGGAAGAGUUCCGUCAGCAUGAUGGCGUGGUGACGAUCUUGAUGCACUACAGCAGCAAGGCUUUGCCUAAACUCCGCUACAGUAUUAUCGAGGACUAUGGUGGCAGGGGGCACCGCACACGGCUAAGGAAUAGAUCACGUGGAUCAACUUGUGUGUUUCUGGGGUGCCUCUGCCUCAGUAUAUAAAGGACUAGAGGGGGGAGGCUGGCCGGCCAUAGCAGGCGCGCCAGGAGAGUCCUACUCCCUCUGGGAGUAGGAUUCCCCCCCCCCCAAUCCUAGUUGGAUUAGGAUUCACGGAGGGGGAAAAGAGAGAGAGGGGGCCGGCCACCUCUCCUAGUCCUAAUAGGACUAGGGGAAGGGGGAGGCGCACAGCCCAUGUAGGGCUGCCUCUUCUCUUUUCCACUAAGGCCCAUCAUGGCCCAUUUAGCUCCCGGGGGGUUCCGGUAACCUUCCUGGUACUCCGGUAAAAUCCCGAUUUCACCCGGAACACUUCCGAUAUCCAAACAUAGGCUUCCAAUAUAUCAAUCUUUAUGUCUCGACCAUUUCGAGACUCCUCGUCAUGCCCGUGAUCACAUCUGGGAUUCCGAACAACCUUCAGUACAUCAAAAUGCAUAAACUCAUAAUAUAACUGUCAUCGUAACCUUAAGCAUGCGGACCCUACGGGUUCGAGAACAAUGUAGACAUGACCGAGAAACGUCUCCGGUCAAUAACCAAUAGCAGGACCUGGAUGCCCAUAUUGGCUCCUACAUAUUCUACGAAGAUCUUUAUCGGUCAGACCGCAUAACAACAUAUGUUGUUCCCUUUGUCAUCGGUAUGUUACUUGCCCGAGAUUCGAUCGUCGGUAUUCCAAUACCUAGUUCAAUCUCGUUACCGGCAAGUCUCUUUACUCGUUCUGUAAUACAUCAUCCCGCAACUAACUCAUUUAGUUGCAAUGCUUGCAAGGCUUAAGUGAUGUGCAUUACCGAGAGGGCCCAGAGAUACCUCUCCGACAAUCGGAGUGACAAAACCUAAUCUCGAAAUACGCCAACCCAACAUCUACCUUUGGAGACACCUGUAAUCCUCCUUUGUAAUCACCCAGUUACGUUGUGAUGUUUGGUAGCACCCAAAGUGUUCCUCCGGCAAACGGGAGUUGCAUAAUCUCAUAGUUAUAGGAACAUGUAUAAGUCAUGAAGAAAGCAAUAGCAACAUACUAAACGAUCGGGUGCUAAGCUAAUGGAAUGGGUCAUGUCAAUCAGAUCAUUCAACUAAUGAUGUGACCUCGUUAAUCAAAUAACAACUCAUUGUUCAUGGUUAGGAAACAUAACCAUCUUUGAUUAACGAGCUAGUCAAGUAGAGGCAUACUAGUGACACUUUGUUUGUCUAUGUAUUCACACAUGUAUUAUGUUUCCGGUUAAUACAAUUCUAGCAUGAAUAAUAAACAUUUAUCAUGAUUAUAAGGAAAUAAAUAAUAACUUUAUUAUUGCCUCUAGGGCAUAUUUCCUUCAGUUUUAGCCAUAGUUGUCGGUUUAAAAUACAGGCUGUCAACACUGCUUGCCUCUGGCGGCUUAAGAAAUUUUUAACUAUCUUUGAUACCUGCAGCGGCUUAAACAUCAUUGCAUAGUCACCUAUAUGUCAUUAGGUCCCUUCUUAAGCCGCCACCUUGAAUAAAUCAACAAUGCUCUCUUCCGGGUUACAAUUGAGCCGAAUUUUUUUAUCUUGUUGUAGGCUUCGAUUUACACAAUGGCACCCAAAACCCCCAAACCUCCGGUGACCUGUAAUUGGGUCCCAUCCAUUGUCACAGAAAGUAAAUUGUCCGAAUUUGUGAAGUCUGGCUACCUGCCCAAGAAGGAGGCCAUGUCUUAUCAUGCUCCUGACCCGUCCGAGGAGAAACCUCAUCCCAAAGAAGGGGAGGUAGUAGUUUUUACGGAUCAUAUGAGCCGGGGAUUCGCUCCACCUGGUUCAAAAUUCUUUAGAGAUGUUCUGAAAUUCUUUGACCCAAGGCCUCAAGAUAUCGGACCCAAUUCUGUGUCAAAUAUAUGCAACUUCCAAGUCUUCUGUGAGGUUUAUCUUGAGCCUAGCCUGCUUUUGUUCCGGGAACUGUUCUAUUUAAACCGUCAGAAUGAACGUGCCAAUGGGCCCAGUCUGGAACUCGGUGGCAUAUCAAUUCAUAGGCAAAGAGACUGCCUGUUUCCUUAUGCUGAACUGCCGAGUCAUCCCAAGGACUGGAACCAGACAUGGUUCUACUGUCAGGAUACUUCUCCGGCUGAUGAGAACCCGCUGCCCGGCUUCCGCGCCUUGCGCCUUGAAUCCAACCAUCCGCUGCCAGACAAGUUGACUGCCGUUGAACGUCUGCCACUUACCCCCACCAUCAAGAAGAUCAAAGCUCUUUUGGGGAACGGCUUAGACGGCAUCGACCUGGUCCGAGUCUGGGUUGCUUGGAGAGUGAUUCCGUUAAGCCGCCGUCCCGGCUUAAUGUGUACUUACUCUGGCGAGAAGGAUGAUCCUCAGCGCCAUAGUCCUGACGACUUACCAGAUGAUGUGGUGGAGGCUACCACCUAGUACUUGUUGAAAGAGGGCACAAUAACCAGUAAUGCCUUCGGCUUACUGCCCUUCUGCAAGAAUAACCCGGCCCCUGCAGUAAGUCAUCAGCCUUAAUGAUUACUCUUUAUUACACCGUACCUUAUUUUUACUCAUGACCCUUUAUGAUUUUUCCAUAGGAAAAUACCGACUUCUGGAAGGUCAAGUACGAUCAUGAGGCAGCAAAACAAGCCAGGGUGGCUAAGAGAGCCGAAAGAAAAGCCGCCAAGCCCACAACUUCGAAGAAGAGGAAACCCAGCGCCUCUAAAAUGUUUAAACUUGAUGAUUCUGAUGAUGAUGAAGAGGAGGUAACCCUCCCCCUUUUUUAAACUUUCCUACCUCUUUUAUGACCACUUCACUGACAUUACUUCUUUUUCAGGAAGACACAGGAAAUAGCCAACCCGUCGAAGAAGAGGUAACUUUAAUCUCCUCCGACUCCGAGCCUCUGCCGCGUCAGAAAAUUCGAAGAGUAACCCGGAAAGUAAGAUUUUCACAUCCUUUGGCUUACCAAGAUCCUGAAUUUCUUUUGAAGUGACAGCAAAUUGAAAGCCGGAGGCAGACCCGGACCAGUAACGACGCAGAACUGUCCUCCGGCUUACCUGACGUAACCAGGAAGCGUUAGAAUGAGGUUAUCUCCGACUUACAUUAUGUUUCCCCUUUGGCGGGUUUAAUCCGUCAACCUCUCAAUUCGUCUGGCUCCAUUUACCAGGAUGCCUCUCCUUCCUCCGGCGAGUCUAUGCAGUCAAACAUGCCGGCCUUUAAGACUGCCCCUGGGUAAUGUCAAUUUGUUUUCCUUAUGCUUUAUCUUACUUAUGUUUUGGCACUCACCUUUCUGCCUUGUCCAUAGUGUGCAAGUGAAGCCCAGGAAGAAAACAAAGAAGAAUAAGCCGGCCCAAGACCCUAUAGUGACUGAGCCAGAACUGGGCAUGGCCACCCCGACUCUUCCACACAUCAACCGCCACCUGAACCGGCUCAAGAUAUUCCGGCACCAACUUCUGACCCGCCUGCUGAAGAUAUUCUUGAUGAUUCUGUUAACCCAGAAGCACUUAGCCCGGCCAAGACGACUGACCCAGAAGUGGAAAUACUCAAGACUCAGAUUGUUGAUCCGGCCCGGCCCACUGUUCUUGCCAAGUGUUCUGCUAAGGAAGAGUUGCUAGAGCGCCGUAAAGCCAAGAUGGACAUCACUAACUAUACUCAUUUGAGUAUUGGAGAUAUCGUCUCGGGCUAUAUCAACCAGGUGCAUAGCAGCCGUGACCUGGAAGUUGACAUGGUGAAGCAAAUACAGCAAAAAUCUGAGGUAUGACUUAUGCUUCCUUACUGUUAAUCAUACUUACUGUACCAGCCCCCAAGUCUAUUGCUUAUGAGUAAAUAUGCUGUAGACUUAAGAAACUGUCUAGCACUGCUUAUCCGGUUUAAAGAGAAAAUACUUAAGCCGGUUGUAGCCUGAUACCUUGAACUUGCGAUACGCAUUAGCCUCCAAGUGCCAAGUAUCUUUGCUUGCAAAGUGCUUGGGACUUUAGUUUGUAUAAGCCGGCGUAGUAAUUUAGAAUUCUUCAGCAUACAUUAGCCCCCAAGUGUCAAGUACCUUUGCUUGCAAAGUGCUUGGGACUUAACUUUAUUUGUAUCAUGAUCCUGAUUAUGACCUGGUACCAAUGUAGACCACCAUAAGUCAAUUUGAGUCAGAGAUUGCUGACCUGAAGAACCACUUGGCAGCCCAGGAACUUGAAAUUCAAAAAGCCAACUCCAAGUUUGAAUUUAGCGUCACUAAACAAGAGAAGUUGAAGAAAAACUUUGAAUCGGAGAAGAAAACCUGGGCUGAUGAGAGGGCCUCUCUGGUGACUCGGGCCGAGACAGCCGAAGCAUCCCUUGCAAAAGCAAACACCGAGCUGUCGGGCUUAAAGCGUCAGAUAUCUCUAAUGGUCUCAGCAAUCUUCGGUAAGUUACCUUAUAUGAACCUCAAAUAUUGCAAUUCUUCCUUUGAUGACUAGGUUAACUAUUGCCUCCGGCUUACCCUUUGUUUAAUAACACAGGCCGCAGGAGCACAAAUCUCAAGCAGGAUAUGGUGGUCAAACUGAAGGCAGUCUAUACUCUGGUGGAGCAAUUGUACACCGGGUCACAACGUGCUUUGGCCGUUGUGGUUUUAUCAAAUGAUGUCCCUCAUCUCCUGCAAGAUGUUCUAAAACGGCUUGCGGUGCUGCCUCAGCGGGUUCAAGAGCUAAGACGGGCAUCUGCCAGAGCCGGAGCUAUAGCUGCCUUGAGCCAGGCCAAGGCAUGGAUUCCAGAGUUAGACCCGGCCGACCUCAGUCUUGGAUAUCUGAGUCUGAAAGAGGAUGGCACCUUGUUCGUUGAGGCGGACUUCACCGCCUGUGUGAAAGACAUUCGCCCUAUGGCUACCCUCAUUGGGAACGACACUGAUCUUACUAAGUAUCAGCCGGGUUAUGACAAUGAGAACCGGAGCAUACCUUUGCCCCUGAAGUCGACCCAACCGGUUUAAUAGAUGAAGAAGCUGAGUUUGAAGCCUUGAGUGGCAUUGACUGGGCUUCCUCAACCUUCCAGGACAGAGCAGCAGACGAAGAGGCGGAGAAGGAUAACCCGGAAUCAUCAAGCCAAUUAAAGGAGCAAGGACGUCGGGUGUCAUAUGCUUGUGUCUUUGUGAAAACAAUACUUCACUAUUAAGACUCGGGGAGUCUUGUAAUAGGGUAGAAAACUAUCGAUUUUUCCAUGCCUUCGCGCAUGUUUAUGGCGCUCAAUACUUUCUUAAGCCGCCAUUGUUGUAUAUUUCUAGCCUUUUAUUGAUCUUCUCGUUCCUUUAUGUUUAAACAAAAGUUACUUUCCUUAUCCUGCAUAAGAGACAAACAAAGAAUCCUCUGGCCACUUACCACCAUGGGGGUCAUAUAAAGGUAUUGAUAACCCGGAGUAUAUACCAAGCAAUAUUUAGGAAAAUCAACUUACGAUUAAGCUUAAUAGACAUAAUCAUAAUGAUAUACUUGUGAUGCUUGUAGUUACCUCUCCGGCUCAUAUGACCCAACCCCUGAGGGUAUUCUUAACCCAUGAAAAUUGAUAUAUAGAAGUUUACCUAGUUCGUAACAACCCGAGGUAACCAAUAUUAAUCCGGAGGAAUGAAAUUCAAGAGAGCCUCAAGAUAGCUAAAUAUUAACACUUAUAAAACAUGACGAGUAAUAAAUAAGAUUUAAAGGCCUCUGAUUCGAAUACGAUCAGCGAACCGUUCCAAAGGGGUUAAGCUAAGAUUCGGAUACGAUCAUAUAGCCCCCAAUGGCUGUGGCGAUGCCGAUUAAGUGGGUAUCGAUCGCUAUGUUCUCUUUGGUUCGAAUACGACCUAUGUUUGAACACGAAGCCCCCAAGUAACCAUAAGAGUUGUUUAAUGACGCUGAUUCGAAUAUGAUCCACGUCAGACCCAAAGGGGUUAAGCUAUGAUUCAAAUAUGAUCAAGAAGCCCCCAAGUGGGUUUGGCAGUAUGCCGAUCAAGCGGGUAUCGACAGCUAUGUUCUCUUUGGUUCGAAUACGACCUAUGUUUGAACAGGAAGCCCCCAAGUGAUCAUGGCUAGACUCAGAUAUGAUCAUAAGACGGACCAAAGGGAAAGCCGGAUUCAGAUGUGACACGCUCCCUGUUGGUUAUCUCCACCACAUGACAAAGAAGACACAUAAACUUUUUGGGGCGGGAAAAAGGACAGAGGUCCUGCUUUAUUGCUUUAUGUAAUAUGUACAUAGUCGAAACAUAUAUAUAUUAGAGCCGGUGGCUCAAGUAUAGUAAGGCCGAAGAUGAGCAAUAUUCCACGGCCGGUGGGUCUCCUCCUCCGACUUACGUGAGUCUUUGUGCUCUUGAACAUCGAUAAGGUAGUAUGACCCGUUGUUCAGAUUCUUGCUGACCACAAAGGGUCCUUCCCAAGGAGGGGAUAGCUUAUGCAUGUCAGAUUGAUCCUGGAUGAGCCGGAGCACUAAGUCGCCUUCCUGAAAGGUUCUGGAUCUAACCCGGCAGCUGUGGUAACAGCGCAGGUCUUGUUGGUAAAUCACCGAGCGGGCUAUUGCUAAGUCUCGCUCUUCGUCCAAUAGGUCAAGUGCAUCUUGGCGAGCUCUUUCAUUGUGAGUCUCAAUGUAAGCCACCACCCGAGAUGAGUCAUGACGGAUGUCACUUGGUAGGACCGCCUCUGCUCCAUACACCAUGAAGAAAGGUGUGUAACCCGUAGAUCUGUUAGGUGUAGUAUUGAUGCUCCAAAGUACAGAAGGUAACUCCUCCACCCAACAACCCAGAGUUCGCUGUAAGGGGACCAAGAGCCGGGGUUUGAUGCCUUUCAAGAUCUCCUGAUUUGCUCUUUCUGCUUGACCAUUGGAUUGAGGAUGAGCAACAGCCGAAAUAUCAAGCCAGAUAUGUUCCCUUUGACAGAACUCUUCCAUGGCACCCUUGGAGAGAUUAGUGCCAUUAUCAGUUAUGAUGCUGUGUGGAAAACCAAAACGGAAGAUCACCUUUUUCAUGAACUGAACCACUGUUGCUGCAUCACACUUACUGACCGGCUCUGCCUCGACCCACUUUGUGAACUUAUCCACUGCCACCAGUAGAUGUGUCUUUUUGUCUUUGGACCUUUUGAAAGGUCCAACCAUGUCAAGCCCCCAGACUACGAACGACCAAGUAAUUGAAAUCAUUCUCAAUUCCUGAGCCGGCACAUGAGCUCGUCGUGAGAAUUUCUGACAUCCAUCACAUUUACUAACAGAUCUUCUGCAUCAGCAUGAGCCGUCAGCCAAUAAAACCCAUGACGGAAAGCCUUGGCCACAAGGGAUUUUGAGCCGGCAUGAUGACCGCAAUCCCCUUCAUGGAUCUCACGAAGUAUCUCCUGACCCUCUGCAGGUGACACGCAACGUUGAAAUGCUCCAGUGACGCUACAGUGAUGUAACUCGCCAUUAACAAUUGUCAUGGACUUGGACCACCGGAUGAUUUGUCUUGCCAAGGUCUCAUCCUCAGGCAACUCUCCCCGGGUCAUAUAAGCCAAAUAAGGCACUGUCCAAUCCGGGAUGAUGUGGAGAGCCGCCACCAGCUGCGCCUCCGGGUCUGGCACUGCUAGAUCUUCUUAUGUAGGUAACUUGACAGAAGGGUUAUGCAAAACAUCAAGAAAGGUAUUAGGCGGCACCGGCUUACGUUGAGAUCCCAGCCGGCUUAAGGCAUCAGCCGCCUCAUUCUUCCUUCGAUCAAUGUGUUCCACCUGAUACCCCUUGAAGUGCCCAGCUACAGCAUCAACUUCACGAUGAUAAGCCGCCAUAAGGGGAUCCUUGGAAUCCCACUUGCCUGACACUUGUUGAGCCACAAGGUCUGAGUCGCCCAAGCACCUUACCCGGCUUAAAUUCAUCUCUUUGGCCAUCCGGAGACCAUGGAGUAAGGCCUCAUACUCAGCUGCAUUGUUAGUACAAGGAAACAUAAGCCGGAGCACAUAACAGAAUUUGUCACCAUGAGGGGAAGUUAAGACUACUCCAGCCCCCGAGCCUUCUAACUGCCUGGACCCAUCAAAGUGAAUAGUCCAAUAUGUGUUAUCCGGCUUCUCCUCAGGUGCCUGCAACUCUGUCCAAUCAUUGAUAAAAUCCACAAAGACCUGAGACUUAAUAGAAGUACGUGGCAUGUACUUGAGACCGUGAGGUCCAAGCUCAAUGGCCCACUUGGCGACUCGUCCCGUGGCCUCUCUGUUCUGGAUUAUGUCUUCCAAGGGGGCAGAACUUACCAUAGUGAUAGGGUGACCUUGGAAGUAUUGCUUCAGCUUCCGACUUGCCAUGGACACUCCGUAAACAAGCUUCUGCCAAUGUGGAUAUCUUUGUUUAGACUCAAUGAGCACCUCACUGAUGUAAUAAACCGGCCGUUGAACCGGAUGCUCCUUGCCAGCCUCCUUACGCUCCACCACGAUCGCAACACUAACAGCCCGUGAGUUGGCGGCCACAUAUAACAGCAAUGGCUAUCUGUCAAUGGGAGCUGCUAGGACCGGCGGUUCAGAUAACUGUCUCUUUAAAUCCUCAAAGGCAGUAUUAGCAGCAUCGCUCCAGACAAAGGUGUCUGUUUUAUUCAUCAUUUGAUACAGCGGUAGGGCCUUCUCACCUAAUCGGCUUAUGAAUCGGCUUAAAGCAGCGACACGACCCGCCAACCGCUGAGCAUCAUUGAUGCACGCCGGCUUAACCAGAGAGGAUAUUUGCCUUGAUCUUUUCUGGAUUAGCUUCAAUGCCCCUGUUUGAGACCAGAAAACCCAAAAGCUUGCCUGCAGGUACACCAAAUACACACUUGGCCGGGUUAAGCAUCAUCUUAUAAACCCAGAGAUUAUCAAAGGUUUCUUUCAAAUCAGAUAUUAAGGUUUCCUUCUCUCUAGACUUCACCACUAUGUCGUCCACAUAAGCGUGAACAUUGCGCCCAAUCUGACUAUCGAGACAGUUCUGUACACACCGCUGAUAAGUCGCCUGGGCACUCUUGACCCAAAAGGCAUAGAUACAUAGUAGAAGGCUCCAAACGGAGUAAUGAAGGCCGUCUUCUCCUGGUCCUUAACUGCCAUUUUGAUCUAAUGAUAACUAGAGUAAGCAUCCAAAAAACUCAAACGCUCACAACCCGCCGUAGCAUCAAUGAUUUGAUCAAUACGGGGAGAGCAAAAGGAUCAGUCGGACAAGCCUUAUUUAAGUCCGUGUAAUCCACACACAUUCGCCAGGUGCCGUUCUUCUUGAGUACGAGCACCGGGGUAGCCAACCACUCAGGGUGAAAAACUUCGAUAAUAAACCCAGCCGCCAAGAGUCGGGCGACCUCCUCUCCAAUAGCCUUUCGUCGUUCCUCAUUGAAUCGCCGAAGAAACUGCCUGACCGGCUUAUACUUAGGAUCAAUAUUAAGAGUGUGCUCAGCGAGUCCUCUCGGUACACUCGGCAUGUCCGAAGGUUUCCAUGCAAAGAUGUCCGGGUUCUCAUGGAUGAACUCGAUGAGCGUGCUUUCCUAUUUAGGAUCCAAGUUGGCACUGAUGAUGAACUGUUUAGAUGAGUCGCCUGGAGUGAAUUCCACAAGUUUAGUUUCACCUGCCGAUUAAAUUUUAACGCCGGGUCAUGCUUCGUAGUUGGUUUCUUCAGAGAGGUCAUAUCUACCGGGUCAACAUUAUCUUAAUAAAACUUUAGCUCUUCCGCUGCACAAACAGACUUAUCAUAAGCCGCGUCGCCCUCUUCACACUCCAAGGCCACCUUUCGACUCCCGUGCACAGUGAUGGUGCCCUUAUGACCCGGCAUCUUAAGCUGCAGAUAAACAUAACACGGUCGCGCCAUGAAUUUAGCAUAAGCCGGCCGCCCGAAUAGAGCAUGAUAUGGACUUUUGAUUUUGACCACCUCAAAUGUCAAUUUCUCAGCCUGGGAAUCAUAUUCAUCUCCAAAGGCUACCUCCAAUUCAAUCUUACCGACUGGGUAUGCCGACUUACCAAGCACCACUCCAUGGAAAACGGUGUUGGGCGUCUUCAAAUUUUUGUCAGUCAAACCCAUGCGUCGAAAGGUUUCAUAAUAGAGGAUAUUGAUGCUGCUACCGCCAUCCAUGAGUACUUUGGUGAAUUUAUAUCCACUGACCUGAGACGCCACCACCAAGGCUAAUUGACCUGGAUUAUCAACCCGGGGAGGGUGAUCUUCCCUGCUCCAUACAAUAGGCUGCUCUGACCACCUCAGGUAACGAGGAACUGCUGGCUCGACAGAGUUCACAGCCCUUUUAUGAAGUUUCUGGUCACGUUUGCACAAGCUAGUGGUGAACACAUGAUACUGCCCACUAUUCAGUUGUUUUGGAUGGCUCUGAUAACCCGACUGUUGCUGCUGCUGUCCUCCCUGAGCAGAGUGCUGUUGAUUAUAGCCGCCUUGAUUUCCCUGAAAGCCGGAAUUUGUGCCGCCGCCCGGGCCAUGAAAGCCGCCAGCGCCUGAGCCGCCGCCCGACCCAUCCAUCAAACGUGUUGGAAUUCUUGAAAGCCUUCAUGAUGGCACAAUCUUUCCACAAGUGGGUGGCGGGUCGUUCCCGGGUGCCGUGUCUCGGACAGGGCUCAUUGAGUAGCUGCUCAAGAGAUGGACCUGACCCACCAGAUCGAGGGGGUGGUUUUCACUUACGUCUCUGAUUGUUACCCUGCGCGUUGGCGUUAGCCACAAACUCCGGGUUACCCUCUGCCUUAUGCUUAUUGCCUCCUUGAUUCGUCGGGUUAUGCUGCUGACCCUUUCCAUUGCCGUUCUUCUUUCCCUUCGCUGUCUUUUCCUCAUCAGACGCGGGAUCCUUGGUACUAUCAGAGUCGAUGUAUUUAACUAAAGCUGCCAUCAGCGUACCCAUAUCAUUGCAAUCACGCUUAAGGCGCCCCAGUUUCUGUCUCAGCGGCUCAAAACGGCAAUUCUUCUCUAACAUGAGGACUACAGAGCCGGCAUCCAUCUUGUCAGACGAAUGUAUAAUCUCCUUGACCCGGUGCACCCAAUGAGUUAUGGAUUCACCCUCCUCUUGCUUACAAUUUGUUAAGUCCACGAUUGACAUAGAUUUCUUACAAAUAUCCUUGAAGUUUUGGAUGAACCGGGCCUUUAACUCGGCCCAUGAACUAAUUGAAUUGGGCGGCAAGCCCUUUAACCAAGACCGGGUUGUUCCAUCCAACAUCAUGGUGAAGUACUUAGCCAUCGCUGCAUCGCUAACCUCCAACAGUUCCAUGGCCAUCUCAUAACUUUCGAUCCAUGCCCCAGGCUGUAAGUCGGCCGUGUAAUUCAGCACCUUUCGAGGCCCUUUGAAAUCCUUGGGAAAACGCACAUUACGUAGAGCCAGCACUAAACAAGGGAUGCCGCCGGUUCUGGUGGCUACUCCUGCCUCAACAGAAGUCAUCGGGUAAUCCGGAAGGGCCUCCUGAGCCGUCAGUUGAGCCGCUAGUUGAGCUGCCCGCUCGUCCUCCUGACGUAUUCGGUCCUGCACCGGGUUAUAACCGCCAGGCUGGUUACGGCGCUGGGCGUUGCUUGAUAAGGCCUCUGACUCCAUGUGCCUGCUGUAACUCGGGCUCUGGUUUGGACGAGUCGUAACUAACCAGGGCGGUGGGGUUGAAUGAAUCCUGUCUCGGCUAUAAGAAUAGGUUUCUUGCUGAGCCAGGGCUAUCUGCACAAGAUCUCUGAUCCUCCGGGUCUCUACUGCUGUCGGAUCAUCACCGUCCACUGGAAGAGCCGCCAAGCAUGCUGACGCUGCAAUUAAGUUCUCCAUGGGGUUGGAGAAUUGACCCGGUGGUAUCGGCACAUAACGAGGUGGUGCCAUAUUCCCCUGAAGAGGUGCCGUCACCUGAGGUUGAACUGCCCCCCGGCAGUCAUGAAUUGAUUGACCUCCGGCGGGUUACUUUGACCAGCUCCAGGCGUCAUGAAGAGGUUCCGCGGAUCGUAAAACAGAGGCAAACGGGAUUGAGUUUUUUGAUGCCUUCUCCUCAUCACCUCGUUAGACGCGUUCAGGCUCAUGGUAAGCUAGAAAGCCUCUAACUGGAGCUAUUGUGCCCGAGCAUCCAAAGCCGCCCAUUCUGUGGCUAACCUGACAUCCUCAGCUGCUAAAGCCUCCUUGGCCCGAGCUAUCUCCUCACGAACCUGUGCCACCUCUGCAUUAUGCUCAUCUUGAUUCGCAGGGAUGACUGUGGUGGUUAACAGGGCCGUAAGUUUAUCCAUGAGAUCCAUCAGCACCUGAGCCGGCGGGCGCGCGGGGCCUCCUGCCCCGGCUGCUCGUGACCCAGAUGUUAUGGCUGCUGCGGCUGUGGAAUUUUGGCCGUUUGACGGUUCAUAGGGGUCCGAAAUAAUAGAGCCAUCGGAACAGGCCCCAAGCCCGCCAUCUCGCACUGGAUACAGAGAAUCUGUUGAACCGGUGGACGAAUCACCGUCAUAGAGGACGACCGUCUCACCAUCACCUUCAGAUCCUUCAGAAAAUUCUCCUCCGUGGAUGCAGCCCACGAAGGCACGCUUCACGACAGGUUGAGCCCGGGCGGGUCUCGCGCGCUGAGCCGUCUCGAUGAGGUCGGUGCAGUUGUCCGGCUCAGGGCCUAGCUCACCAAUCCGGCCAAUGAAGACGUGAAUUCCACCGAAGUGGACCCGGUACCCAUACUCAAUUGAGCCGGCGUCGGGGCCCCAGCCUUCGUCGUCGACGUAGAUCUUGCCGCGACGACUCUUGGUCAUCCGGCCGACUGCGUAUCCCUUGAGCCCUUCGAAGCUACCCUUCAAGAACUCAAAUCCACCGUGCACUGGCCCCAUGGUGGGCGCCAACUGUCGUGGAAUUGUCACGGCAUAUGUCCUCUUGCAAGGACUUAGUCGUGGAGCCAUCGCAACUAGGAAGCUUAAAGGGGUUAAUCAGGACAGAGGCCACGACAGGUUUAUACUAGUUUAGCCCCUUGCGGUGAAGGAAGGCCUACGUCUAGUUGGGUUGGUAUUCCUUGAUGUUUCGAUGACCAGGGAGCGAGAUACGCUAUGCCCGGCUUUUGAUGGGUUGUUUCUUGCCCUAACCCACCGGCGGGUCGUCCCCUUAUAUACACGGGUCGACGCCCUACGACCUACAGAGUCCCGGCCGACUCAUAAACAGUGUCCGGCUCGGUGACUAGUUAUUUCUACCUUAUAUUACAAGUCACGCCAUCAUGGCGGUUUGUCACUAUGGGCCUUAAGCCGCCCGUGGGCUUUAAACCCUAUGAACCGCCAUCCUUAUGUUGGGUCUUGGGCUUCUUUCACGAUGAGUCUUCUUUGCGUAACCCGGCCCCUCCUGGGCGGUUUACACAUAUAGUUAUAUCCCCAACACUAUUGAUAUUUUGAACAUACUCUUUAUUUUCUAAUUUGAAAUUGGAUAGAAUUGACAGAACAUUUAUCAUCUUUGUUUAUACACGUGGAAAACCUAUCAUCUCUCUG